rnacentral:lncRNA from 1 species
CUUCUUCUUGGUCGACCUGCUCCUAGGGAACCUCCUUGACAUGCGCCUUCUUGCAAGGCGCAACCCCUCCAAUGGACUUACGAGCAAACCACUUUCCACGAUACAUCUAUAGAGUUAGAUUAAGGUUCAAGUCAGCAGAGGCAAUAAUUUAGAAUAGAAUAAAGCGAAGGAAGCACAAAAAUUUUAGCAAAUAACAAGGUAAUAGUAAAGCUUGAAACAAGUGAAGUAGAGGUGUUAAAUUUGACCAUUACUAACUAGACUUGUGUCCUACGGUCAACAAUGCUUUGAUACCAAUUUGUCACACCCAAUUUCAAGAACGAAAUAGGAUGCAUAAAAUACUCAUGUGCACCCCAGAAACAGUCGCACACCUAAGUAGACAAAUCUUAAAAUAGUACCAUCACAUUGUUUAUUACAUAACAGGUAAAUAUUCAUCGCAUAGUCUUAAACAAUAAUAAUAGUUUUAAUAAAUAAGCUCUCAACAGAAGCACCACAUAGGGACAACUGUCAACUAGUUGACUCUAAACUAGUACUCAUCAGUAGUUCUCAUUCCAGUCAUCUUCAUUAGCACAUCACAUCCUAAGGUGUUGUGAAAUAGCAAGAGUGAGCACAUACUAUACUCAAUAAGUAUAAUCAGGGGUUCAUGAGGCUCAAUUAGCUGAUACUGGUUUUACUGCAUUUACCUUCAAUAUGUAUGUAGAAUAUUCAUCAUAAGAUAGCGAAUAUCAAGGUAGCAUAUUUAAUCACAUAACCACAUGAUCAAUGUAAGCAUAAUUAAUUUAAAGCAUAAAUGAUAUAUAAAUGAACAUAAUAACUUAAUAAGCAUCAUCAUCUUUAAUAUAAGAAUCCCCAAGGUUGCUCGUGUCCAUGAGCAUGGCUAGUAUACCAGUUUAAACACUCUGAAAAGGUUGUACUCCCUCCGUCCCUAAAUACUGCUAUUUCUAGGAGAAAAUUUUAUCCACAAAUACUGCUAUUUCUACUAGCACACUCAGUCCACGAGCCCAUUUAAUUUAUCCACGGAACUCCAUGAUCUUCAGCCCAUUUAAUUUCUUCUAGGGAGUAGUACUUUGGUGCAUGGUAUUGUUUGAGUCUGUUUAGUUGGCAUUAAAUGCAGCUCGUUGGAACUAGAGAACCAUGGCUUAACGUGCAUGAUUAAAUGGUGGAACCCAAAUUAAUUGAGGGUAGAAUGGUCUUUUGUUUGCCACACUAAUUUGUCUAAAAUCUACUAGAAAUAGCUGUAUUUGGGGACGGAGGGAGUACAUCUUUAUCCAUGAGUCUCAAUUUACUCUUUCGCCUGAGGUGAUCAGCCUCUUAACCCACUACCAAGGAAGGUCUGCAGGGUUCACUAUGAAGCCUUUCAACAGUUUGUUUAACAAGUUAGGGCUGCAAGGUUUCUAAUCGGUUAGCAGAUGUAGAGCCCCCUUCCGAAUGGCACAAUGACGCGCAGUCUAUACAUAUAAGGACAGAGGCCACACUAUACCAAGAAUGGCAAACCCCUCUAGGUAAGGUCUUCAUACCAAGCAAAAGCUAGAGACAUUAUAGCCCUCAUGGUUGCACUGUCAAUCUCAAUGAUCACUUACAGACAAGAUCUCAUAUAGUCAUAAAUCAUCUUUUAAUGUUCUUUGUAUUGUCAUUAAUCAUCUUACAAGAUCAUGGAUUAAAUCAAGCACUAGCAAGAACUACCCAAAUGCAUAUCCAAAUAGGUUUAUAAAAAUGAAGAAGUUAUGGAUUUUCUACAUAGAAUAGUACACCAACAGUAGAAAAACAAAUAUAAAAGUUUAUAUGUAGUGCUACGAUCACAUAGACAUAAAGAUCACGAAAAUCGGAUCUAAAAUGGAGAAGUUAUGGAUUUUCUAAAAUUUCCUAUAGAAAAGUAAUUAAUUGAAAAGGACCACGAAAUUAAAAAGUAAUAAGCUGGUUACACAAUGAUACUAACAUGUAGAUCUCGCAAAGAUGAAUCUAACACAAUUUGAAUGAAUUAAAAUAGAGUUAAAAUGAGCAUUUUAUAAGCAAUAUAAAAUCUGUGGCAAAUCUAUAAAUGAUGGAAAGUGUAUUUUGAUUUAAACCAACGUGAAAUACGCUUUUAAAAUGAGAAAACGUAUUUGAGUGAAUGCGUGAAGGACUGCGGGUUCUAAUCCCUGAAGCCGCAGGGUCUCUUUUGCAAAAAAAAAACCCACCCCAAAGGGGUAUCUUCUAAUUCUGGCCAUAGAUCACGCAAUGGAUGGCCAAGAAUCAAUCUAGGCGGUGGAGGUGGCUAGCAGCGGCCCGGAAUAGGACCCCACGUCGGCGCCAUUAGAGACCUCGCCGGAGUUCCCUGUUCUUGCGGUUCCGAGCACCAAAUGGGAAAGAAAACCACCAGGGGGUGGAGAAACUCACCACGAACUCACCUGGACUCUUGGACUAGGCCGAGAGGGAGUAGGAGAUGAGUACGGUGGUGGCGGAUGAAGUUCCAAGCUCGUCUAGAUCCGAAAAGGGUCGGGGCAGCAGCUGGGGCGCAACCGAGUCACGAAGAUGAAAAAAUAGAACAUGAGGGAAAGCUCUGGAAGCUUUAUAGGGUCGGUUGGGCGCCCUACUCGUCAAAUCCCAGAAGAAUUGGGAUUCUCUUCCGUCUCGGUGAAGGAGUCCUAGUCGGCUUGGGGGAGGAAGAGGGAAAGGCGAGAUGAGUCACUAACGGGUGGGCCAUGGGUGUCUAUGGCACAGAAGAAUUGGGAGGAGGGAGCUGUGGUGUGUCUUGGGCCGGUUCCUGGGCUGUGACGGCCUGUCCGUGCGCAGGACUGAGGCGAACAACGAGCUGGGCCAAAAACAGAGAGUAAAACCCUUUUUUUUAUUUUUCCUUUUUAAACAUUUUACUAACCUUAUGUUGGAUUUUAUUUUCAAUAAAAUUAUUUAUGCUAAAUUAAAUGUUCAUAAAAAUAAUUAAAUAAAUCCAAUUAAUUCUAUUUAAUUGAAAAUCAAAUUUUAGGUGUUAUAGCCCUUGUCACUUUCAGCUGUCUGUGAAAGCUGUAACUUCUAGAGUUGUCCUAAAUCAAACUUGUAAAACUUUGACCAAAUUUAUAAAAAAAACACUAAGGUUUAUAGUACCAAAUUAUACCAUAUUAUUUAUCAUUGAAUAUAAUUUUAUAAGAUACUCAUUUUAUGUCAUAGAUAUUGAUGCUCUUUUCUAUAAAGUUGGUCAAAGUUAAACAAGUUUGACUGGUACGGAUUCUAGGAGUUGAAGCUUUAGGAACAGACGGAGUAUCAUAUUGGGCUUGGAUACGCCCGAUCUGCAACGAAACUAAUCUACAGAUGGUCGGGAACAUUACCUGAAGGGCUACUUUGGUAACUCAGGGCCAUUAACCCAGGGAACAAAAUGGAGGGGGAGGGAAAUUUCUGGACAUGCUAAUCCCCUCUCCACCCGGAGGGGAAAUUUGACGUGGAGGUUUAUUUCCCAGCGGCUGUUUGGAAGUAUGCAGCAAGUGGAGACGGAUGAUGAGUUCAAACAGCUUCAGCAGAAAGCGUUCAGAUAAGCAUGCAUGAAUUAGUCCUUCCUGAUGGCUCUCGGCUUAGCAUUCUAGGAAUAAGUCUUGGCUUAUUUGAUAAUUUCAAUAUAGACAUAGUAUACAAACGUCUUAAAAAAUCAGAAAAUUCAAAAAAAAAUCACUACAUAUCAAGGCAAACAUUGCAUAGUGAUAAAAAACAAAUCUCAGACAUAAGUCUGUUUAUUAAAAAUACAUAUGUAUUUCAAACUGCAAUCAAGUCUUUGCAUAGCUACAUAGAAACCAGAAAUGUUCAAUGAUCAUUAAAAAACAUGACCACACUUCACUUGUCCAAGUCAUGCAUUUCUUCCACCAAAACCUCUGCAAAUAACAUAAAACAAAAAUGGUGAACUCUUGUAACACAUUUGGCUUUUCCCCAACAAGUGUGUAUAUGAAUGGAUCAUACAAAAAAAGUAUCACUUUAAAGAAUGAAGCUGCAGCAAGCUAACACAUGUAGAAGCAAGCUAACAUUAAACAGAUAGAUAUGCCUACCAAAUUCCAGAGUUCCUAUAUUUCAGUCAUAUAAGCCAAACCAUGCUAACCUACAUGGAGAAUGCCUAGCAAAUUUCACAGUUGGCCUCGAAAACUAGCAUGAUUGUCACAGGUAAGCACCAUAACUUGAAAAACUAGGUUCUCAGCUCCUAAAUUUGCUCAUAUGUGCAAGCUAAUAAUACUGACUUAGCUAACAGAACUACAGCAAGUGGUCCAAUCAGAAUGUAAAUGGUAUUGGUAUGUCAAAGAGCAAAAACAAUGAUCUGUUAAUUCGUUACGGACCAUUGGUAUGUCUAAAGCUCAGGCUAUCAAGGUAAAUGGCAUGUGUAGCUAGGCUUUCUUGACCAUACCCAUCUGGCGCCAGUGUGCACUGGACCAUAACUUGCAACAGCUGUACUCAUUGAAGUACUAAGGAACUGAUAAGCCCAUGAAGAAAGCGAACCCCAUUGGUCCUAAAGCUGUUUAGGUUGCAGAACUGAAGUAAACUCAGGCUAACACCACCUGAAAAUGGAAGCAACUUUUGAGUACAGAUGAAGAAAACAAAUCAAAAAUAAUGUCUCAAAAAUCUCAAAUUUUUUAGUACAAAUGAAACACACAUGCCACAUCGUAAAGGGGCAGAUGGAUACCUUGGAGCAUCCUCAAAUUCAGUAUUCUAGGUCCAACAAUUCCAUCAAACAAUCGCUUCACAUGCACUCUUGUAGUCCUGAGAAUGCAAGAUAUGGUGAAUGGCAAAAAACUAUUUCUAGAAUUGACAAACUAUAUAAUAGAGCAUCACAUUCAGUAACAUCAGAGUUGUGGGCUAUCUGUGUUGCUGCAGCCAGUAGUCUGGAGUCAGCUAGGGGGAUUUUGUUGUCUGUGUAGCGAAACAUUAGUCUAAGUACCAUAUUUGUAUCGUUUGGCUAUAAGCAUUCAAUUGUGAAUGUGAAGGCCGAAAUGUUUUUAUUUAGUAAUCUAAAAAAAACAUCAGAGUUGCACCCUACCAGUAGCAGGCCUUUGGUAGUCAAGCCUCAUUCACUGCAUGCAAGAGAAACUAAUGAAGCCAGCAAAGGCUCUUGUUUGAGAACAAGGUACCAUCACCAGGGUCAAGAUCCAAUGCCUGCAUCCAACUAAGUCAAACAGAUUGAAUUUAGAAGAUUUGCUAAAUUGAUGACUACAAAAGAAAACAUAUUUGAAUAUGCAAACAUUUGGACAGAAAGCUAGAUCUAAUAAUUGACUCGCAUCAGAGAAAUGGAGAGAAUAAUUAAAGUUCACUAAGAAUCUACAGUGCCCACCACUCUUUUUUUUUCAUGAGAGCAUUAAGAAGAGUAACAUAGACAAGGGUAUGCGAGGCACACAUUGUCCCACCUUAUUCCCCCCAAUAAUGAAAGCUUAUCCUUGCAACUCAAUUAUUUAUGCACCGAACUGUAUCUUUUCUAUUGUUAUUUGUAAAUAGAACAGAACCUGAAUAAGUAACAGUUUUGAAUGAUUUAUUAUUAGCUUGUGUACUAAGUACAACAUUUCAAUUUCAGUUAGCCCACUGGCCAUUUUAGUUUUUAGCUUGUACUACUAAGUAGAGGAUUCCAAUUUCCAGGAGAGAAAUUGCCUAGUACUAACUACUGUAAAACAGAGCAAGAACAAAUCAGGGCCGAGAAGAACAGAUGUCUGACGACACAAGCUCAAGAUCCAUGCGCAUUCCAACCAAGCUCAUCUGAUUUACUGCUGCAUUAAUCCACCAUGAAACCGGAAAUUUCAAAACAUUGUAGAAGAGAAUCUCAUUCAAUCCUAGGUGAUUUACUGCUGCAUUAAUCCACAUUGUAGAAGCCUCGCGACUGCAGUUGCGCGAGCGCGACCCGUCGGGGAAACGCUCCUGGUCUCCUGACUCGUGGUUUUCUUCCCCGUGGAAAACGAAGGGAAGCGGACUUGUGUCCCCGCGUGACCCCGCGUGAGUGUGUUUCCAAAGAGCGCGACCAAUCUAUCCAGAGAAAGUGGCCGCGUGGUUUCUCGGCCCGGGGAAGUCGCUGCGAACCCUCCGGGAUCCCCUCCUGCCAAAGUAGCCCGAAAGGUCGUAGAAAAGCUCCUUCAAAAUUAUAAGUUGACUGGAUAAGCGACGGCUGGCUCAAUUGCUCGGCAUGCGUGAUGCACGUGCGCCGAGUUCACAAGUCAACGCAGCUUUGCUUUCAGUCCACGGCAGGAGAGACGAAGAACCUUGCGCGCCACUCCUAUUGUUGUAUUUAACCGCCGCCCUGAUGCCACCAACGGAAACAAGUGUCGUGCAAGGGAGCAAACAAGACACAAGCGAGCGAACAAUCUUGGAGCCAAUGAACCGCCAAGGGCAGCCACGCGCCGAGGGCCGGCACCACCUCGCCUUCCUCCUCGUCCUCCUCCUCCGCCGCCUCCAGCUCCGGCGAGAGGAGCCACCGUGCGCUCAUAGUGCGGCUCCUGCCGUUCCGGGGCGCGCUGCAUGGCCACACCAGCGCGAUGCUGCUGAUCAUCCAGUUCGCCCGCCGGCGCCACCUCGCGUGCCACGGCCUCCGCCCCACGCUCGUCACCACCCGCUACAUCGUCCUCCCCGCCGCGCCGCCCCUGCCAAGCCUCUUCCGUGUCGCCGCCAUUUCAGACGGCUUCAAUGACGCCGGCCAUGCUAGUGGAGUGUGGUGGAAGUGGAACUGGCGACUAUAUCAAAAUGCAUUUUUAGGAGGUGAUGGACGGCGAUAGCAAGAGUGAAUUUGGGAUGAAUGCUUAUGCUUGCUAAGUGGACGAAGAAUAUGGACAAGGCACAAUAAUGCAGAAAGGAGGAAACUCAUGCAUGAAUAUUGCUGAAUUUGCAGCAAAGUAUCCAAUAUGUCGUCAAACAAUAAGCAUCUAGUGAUAUGGAAUUUAUAUAUUGAUGAGCAUAACAAGUCUUUGCAUUGCGCCUUCUGUAACUUCAAAGGAGGCCAAAGAUGUUGGUAUUCUCCUAUACAACUAAAAAGAACAAAAGUAAGACUAUUUCAUGGUGCGACAUUUUGUUUCGCUCCGUCGGUCCGCUUCACCUGUGACUUACGGCUUCCCUCCCGGCGCAGGACUUACUUGCGACUGCAAUCUCCUCCUUCAAUCACGCGCUCUGCCUCCGUGCAACCCCAUGCUCACCCUGAUUUCACCUCACCUCGCACGCAAUGGCCCCGACAUCCCUCCUGCCUCAAUCUGCUUGCCCCGCUGCUCGCCGAUGUCGGCCGCCGACCCCUCGGUGAUGUCCCCGCCUCCGCUCCCUUACCCUCCGCUCCGCUGCGAACCUCCCUCUCCGUGCUCCUCAACCUCUUUGUGUGCGUCGACUUCACCACCAAGAUCUGGAUCUGCCCGCUCUGCUUCUCCCGAAACUCCAAUGUCCCUGCCGAGCUCUUCCCGUUCACCGUCCCCGGCUUGCCCCGGUAGUGGUUUUCGUCCUUCCGGUUCACUCCCCGGCGAAUUCCAUGUUGAUCGACGGGAUGGGGUCCGUGGUCACGACGUGAGCGACUACCACGGCGAGGAGCGGCACAGGCUCGUGAACCUCAUCGCGGAGACUACUUAGGAUCCAUGAGCAGGUCCACCACCCACCUGGUAAGCCACUACACAUCGCCUCGCCUGCUAGCUGGGCAUCGAGUUUCAAUAGUUGAUUUGAUUCCACGUGGUGAAAAAUUGGAUCUGGUGCGCACUACUUGCGGGCCGGUGUGCUAGAGGGUCGAGGGGAAGAAGUAUGUACGCAUCAUGAGGAAGCUGGUGACUCGCUCUUGAGCCACUGCUGGUUCACAUAGUGUCUCAGGGAGGGGAGGCGCCUUGCAAAGGACCCCUACUUGAUGGUAAGGUAGGGGCAAUUUUUCUUCAACUGUUUUGAAACUGUUAUAUGAUUAGACAGGUACUCUAUUGUUGUUUGACUUGUGCGAAUCCAUAUACAAAAUGUGAAAGUGGAAAGAGCAAUUAUGUUUCCACAGAUAUGCUGCCUUGACAGAACAAAAUUGUUGUGGACAGUUCUAAUCUAUCUUACUUUUUGAUCUUAGAUUGUCAGUAUUUCUCAGAUAAAACCUUAUCUUUCCUUUGGAUUAAUAGUUGCUAAGAAGCAAGGACAGUCCCUAUAGUCAUAGAUACCAUCUUAUUCUGUAAAAUUGUUGGCUACUUACUCAGAAAACCUUCAUUUCUGCCUGGUACACAGUGGUGAAGAAGCAGGGCCAGUCCCAGAGCUGCUUGCUCGUUCCCUUACACAAGGCAAGAAAAAUGCCAUCAUGGAGGACUGGGUUUUCCAAGAGUUACCUGAUGAUUUUUGGGACACUCUUCCAGCCAGAGCCAGCUAUAAAGUUAACCUUGAUGAUUCCGAUUCUGAUUUUGAGUCUGCCCUACUAAAAAGUAAGAAUCAUAACCUUCAUUUCAUUUGUUUUCCUGCAUGCAACCCAUGAUGUUGUAUUGUCUAGCAUAUGUAUAAUAUUACCCAAUCAUGGUUAAACUAGAUUUUAUUGCAUUAAAAAUGAUGCUGCUCGUAUAUCAGGGUGACAGUUAUUGUGUACUAGAAUAUGACCUUCCAUCUAUGCAUAAAACAUGGCUGCUGGCUGAUAAAUCUGAUUAUGUCCGAUAAUUGGUAAUUUAUGAGCCAAUAAUUCAAAUUUAUGGAUGAAAUUUAUCAGCCAAUUAUGUCCGAUAAUGAGUUUGACCAUUAGUUUUUCAAUUUAAGUCUGAUAUAUUGCCAUUGGUAUGUAUAGUUUAUACUUUAUAGGACCUCGCGACAUAUUGCUGAGACACUGAUAGAAUUAAUGCUACACAUAUCUAAGCUUAAUAUAAAGAUAUACAGCUCUCUUGCGUGUCUGAUAAAAAUAUCUAGGCUUCAAUUUGAAUUGUCAAAAGAUUUGUCAGAACCAGUUCGAUCACAUAAGGAUCUUGACAAGGAGCCAAGGACGCAGCUCCUCACUUCCAGAAAGCCAUUAAUUUUUCAUGUAUUUUCAUAUGUCCUCUUGGCAGCUUAUGAAUCUACAUCUCAUAAGUUGCCUUUCAUUCAGCAAAGUUCUCCAGUUAUUACACUAGUUUUAGUAAUUCAGUGAUCAGUGCAUUGGAAAAAACAAGCCACAUGUUUUCAUGUAUUUUUAUAUAAUAUCCUCUUGGCAGCUUAUGAAUCUACAUCUCAUAGGCUGCCUUUCAUUCAGCAAAGGUCUCCAGUUAUCACCUGUUACGUCCACACUUUAGUACUUAUGCCGAAGUCUAAAACAAGCAUAACAGAUAAAAGAACUAUGGAAAAGUUUGCCUUGCAAUCUGAGAACUAUGUAGCAUUCAAUCUCCAACAGUUGUUCGUGAACAUGCUUUUACCAUCUCAACUAUUAUAUGCAAGAAUGAAAUGAUCAAAGAAAGGACAUGCCCUGGUUUUUGUAGUUCCGCUGCUACUACUGAAUUUAACUGACCUGUGGGUUUUGUAAAUUUAUUUAACAUCUAUGUGUUUGAGUUUGAUAAUCAACAGACAUUUAUGUGCUCAUCUAAAAACUUAACCGAAUCUGAAUAUAUUUUGAGAGAUUUAUUCUUUGGCGAGUUGUUCUUAAACAUGAUCAAGUUACAUUGCUAAAAUUAAAUCAAGUAUCAAUCAUCCAGUUAAUUCUUGUCAAUUGGGACUUAUGAAUUAUGAUAGUUUUAAACCAUAAGCUAAGACCUAUUCUGAUUUCCAGGACUGGUGUAUUUGUAUAGGCAAACAUAAGUUUAGUCGCAUUCAAUACUUCAUGAACACGAAGAUUUUUGUCGGUUUCAUAUACAACUCUGUUUGGCAUGCCAUUUUCCCUGUGUCGAUUUUGGGAACUGGAAAGCAAAUUCUUCUGCUACUUGCAUAGUUAGUAAAUAUCAAUUGUUAAUUUGCCUUAUGGUCGUCUGGGGCAGCUGCUCAAGCAAUUCCUAGGGAUCUCCUUUCUCUCAAGAGAGAGUAGCUCAUCUGCUUCUUUAUGGGAAAGCCAGAUUUAUCCGGGCAUUAGGGGUCAGCCAUUGGUUGUGAUGAGCAAGGGUUGUGCGGCAGCAAUACUAUUUUCCUCUUCAAUUCUAAUAAUAUGUGUAUUUCUGCAAUUUGUUUGAUUUUUCUUUAUUUUAGUACUGCAGUUUCAGGGCAUGUUUUUAUUUUUGAAUGUUGUCAUUCUAGAUAGUAAAUUUGCUUCUUGGUGGAUUAUUUAUUGGUGAGCGCUAGGGGUAAAUUUUAGAUUGGAUUCUUUGUCAUUCAAUAGUUUAGCUUAAGCGUGCUGACAAUUCUCAAUCAAGUUGUCGUAACAUUCAGGGUUCAGCUGACAUGCACACGACAACAUAUUUGGUGUUGGAGGACACCAUCUUCCACCACACUUGACAAGGCCAUCCUGGAAGGGUCUGUGCCCUUUGACGGCCAUCUCAGGAGCCGGGGAGCAUGUGUGGACUGGUACCUAAGCAAAAUUUUCCACCCCCUAUCUGUUGCUAUCAUGGGCUCAUGGCUGCACAACCACCACAGUACAUAUCAUAUAAAUGAUGGUCAGUAUAGUUGCUUUGUCUACAGCUAAUCUGAAUUUGUCUCUUCAGUAUCUGUGUGCAUAGUUUCUGUUUCAUGUUUGUUUUUGUGCUUACCAGGGAAGGGGAAGAUACAAUGUUUGCUUCCUUAUGAUUGUUGCCAAAUUUCUCUACUGUAAACACUACCUAGCAGAAGGUGAUCCAUAGUUUCCGGCGCCUGGUCAUAGAUGAUGCACUCUUCAGAGCUCUGCAACCCAUGACAAUGUCUCCUAGCAGCAGUCCAACAAUGUCCAUGCAUCAUCAGCCAAAAGAAUUUUUUGACUCAUGGAAGGACAUCGCUUUUCCAGAUUUGCUUGGCCUCAGGCGGAUUUGAUAAACCAUAGAACAUUGCGACAUAGGCUGAGGCUGCACAAUACUGCUGGUCGCCGAACAAGCACCACGAGGUCAAGAUACUGGUAAUGUUGCACCCAUGCCUGUUGUGGAAUUGCUUCCGCCGCUGCCUAGCCAUUGGCGCGAACAACACUAUAGGAAUUCAAACUUAUGGUUGCUGAGUUUGAAGUUUUUUAUAUUUGUAUUUUUUUCCACAGGCUUCACAUGAGCAAAUCAUGAUUGAAGACAUAUGUGUUACUGAGUAGGCUUAGAGCAACUUAAGAGUCGCGAUGUCUGGUUUGAAUUCUUUUUUAGGGGAUGGUCCAAUAGUAUUGCUAUCUCGAAAUCCAAAAUAUUAUUUUUUUUGUCGACCUUCAAUUGUCUUGACUUUAUUUUUUCCAACUUGCAACGCAUGAGCAUUAACUUUUAUACUAAAAACACAUGGAUUGCAUGAUAGAUAAUAAUAUUGUGAGAUUUUACCGAUGUUAAUAAUAUAAAAAACAAAGUUUGUGAAAUUGACAGUCACUAACCUUUCCGUGAUAUUUUAUAUCAGUAAGAAAAAUUAUCUGAGAUCCGUUUCUUUUAUGUGCCAGUGAUCUAUUCCUCAGCAUCCAUACCAUCAUGUACCACGAAAUUAAAUAUUUUGGAGAUUUUUUCUCGCUGAUAUAAAAAGUUAUCUUAGCCGCAUCAGAAAAAUAUCUAUACAGUAGAGUUUAUAAGCCUGCGAUGUCGCGCUAUCCAUAAAUGUGUUAAUUUCAUGAAUUUUUCUUUUUGAUUAAUUUUCAGUUUAACAUUGAUGUUUAGUUUCACAAUAUUAUUAUCUUAUCAUGCGAUCUAUGUGUUUUUACUAUAAAAUUUAGUUGUCCCGUAGCAACGUACGGGCAUGCUAUCCAGUUUAACGUUUCAAAACUCAGGAAUCGAAGUAAAAGUACAGUCACAUAGCUGUGUGUCAUUUAGUUAUUAUUUUGUUUUUUUUGGAUUGUAAGUGCUCUAAGCACGAGAUCAUAGAUCUUAGCUUACAUAGAUUACUGGUCCAUGUAACCUUUGAAAUGUUAGGAUCAUACAUUAUUUUAUUUGCCUACCUUAAUUAAACAAUAUGUUUAAUCUUGUUCUAAAACUGCUAAGUGUAAACUUUGAAUGAUAAAACCAAGGAAUAACAACAUUACCUUUUAUAAAAUCUUUGUUAUCUUCCCAUGAUCUAUGCAAGUAUGCUUUGGUUUGGGUAUGAUCCACUUCGUGUGAUCAUACUUUUAUAGACUUUUCAAAUUAAACAUGGUGCUUAGGUUGUUUAGUCUAAUUUGAUCAAAUUAAAACAUGAUGUCUAGUUUGGCCAUUGAACCGAAAAGUACUAAGCAUGGACAUAGCUGAAUAAAAAUCAUAUAUAAAAUGUAUAAAAAUAAUGUACCUUCAUCGGGGACUUCACCAAGCAAACUCCAGACAAUAGGUUAAGAGUUUGCUUGGGGAAGGACACCAACAAGAUAACUUGUAUCUUGCACUCUCACUACUUUUUGUUACCAUGCAUAAAAAAGAAAAGAAAAAUAAAUAAAAAUAAAUGCUUCCUUUGUUCACCACCGUUCAAUAUUUUCACCUCCAUUGUAUGAUUCUCAUUUAUCAUUUCAUUCUUCCUCAAUGUUUUGGUUUGGAGUUUUGGUUUUAUAUCUUUUAAAAUAAGCAUGGUGCUUAGUUUGAAAUUCGGAUGUAAUGAUUAUCCUUCUAUAGGAUUUUAAAUUUAAGCAUGGUGCUUAACUUAAAUAGCCUAUAUUUAUCAAAUUAGACAUGGUGUCUAGUUUGGUUAUUGGACCAAAACUGCUAGUAUAGACUUUGGUUCAUCAUACGGGCUAACCCCUAGAGGAAUUUAUCAACUUCAUGAGGGUAAGUCUUUGAGAUGACAACAUAGAUGGAAACUUGUUUGGUGAGCCUUGAUAAAAAAAUAUAUAUAUUAAUUAAUAAAUGAGAAUAAUAAUAAAAUUUUCAACUUCAAGUAUAGUUGCCUUGUAAUUUCUAUAAGACAAGCUUGGGGGAGCCUCCUUGCACGCUUAAAGAAGACCAUAAAUCAAAAAUCAGGACACAACACCCGCCAGCUAGCAAGAUUCCUUGCUGAACCUCAGACCGUAUGUUGAAAGCUAGCUUGCGGGAGGACCCCCACAGAGGUGACUCAUAUCUCACAUUUCUUUUAGUUAUCUUAUUAUCUAACAUUUAAACAACAACAACAACAAGGAUGAUGAUGAUGAUGAUGACGACGACGACGACGAUGAUGAUGAUGAUGGAUGCGUCAGCACAAGCUCCUCGGCAAGGACGCGUCCAGCUUCCUGCGACGCGAUGGACAGUCUCACAUCGGCACAAGCUCCUCCACCGCCGCCACUCUCGUCUCCCUGCUCAUCUGUGUGGGCGACCACUGCUGCAAGCGCCGCAGCAGAAGCGCCUCGUCGAGCCAUCCUGUCGUCGUUCGCGACCUCCCCGCCAUGCUCUUCACCUCUUCCCCGGCCACCACAGGUACAGGCCGCGUGGUGCUCUGGAGGGUCGCGAGGGGAAGGACCGAGCGAGUCGAUAUGGAGCCGAGCCAUUUGCUGAGGCGCGGCCGAUGGGAAGGACAGGGCCGAGUUAUUUACACCUGCCAUCCGAUGGAAUGGGCGUCCACGUGACAUCAAUCGAGCUUGGGGGCGCACAUACCGCACGCUGCACCCAUCGUCCAUACAAUUUUUUCCCCAAACAAGGUAUCAUUUCUCUAGAACAGAAAAUGUAACACGAGCAAGAGACUUGAGUAAUUGCAGAGAAAAAUCUUUUACUAAUUCUAGAUCUCAUGGCAAACCGAAUAUAUAAGGAAAGAGUCAUUGUAUAUGGGAUUGAAACAAUAAAAUCCAUUAAUGUAAGUUGCGGACUUAUGCAAUUGCAGAGAAAAUUCUUUUACUAAUUCUAGAUCUCAUGGCAAACAGAAUAUAUAAGCAAAGAGUAGUUGUAGUUCUGUACAUGGGAUUGAAACAACAAAACCCUUUGAUGUCAAGUUAGCUUCUCUUCAGUCUCCAUGGUAUAGAAUACAAGAGCAAGGCAGCUUGUCACUCGAGCGCUUGAAUAACCCAACCAAUCAUCCCCUCCAUCGAUGGAAUAACCCGGCGAUCACUCCUUCACCCUCUGUCUAUUCAGUUCUCUCCAACGAAUACAAGCCUUUUUUUCACAAACGCAAGCCAAUCUGUGCAGUCCGCCCACAGUUUUCAAAUCUUCUUGCGCCUUUUCCCUUCUCACUCAUCCAAGCUUAUGGAUUGACGUCAGUGCUGGGUUCUCUAGCUGUUUGCUUCUUGGUGUUGGAUCACCAAUAGAGGGCAUUGGGCGAAGUAUGUCCCUGGACGUAUAAAAUUGCUAAGUUAGAAGAGCCGGUUCGGUGUGUGAUUCGGGUGUACAUUCUGUGACUUGAAUAUUAAUUCUUUCAGUUAACUAAUGUGAAAGUUACUAGGCGCUGUAUUGUCAAUUCCACACAGCAUUCUAGGAUUACUAUAAUUUGUAUUUCUAGCUGAUUGUGGGUCACUCUCAGGUCUCAGCAGAUACCAUACGUUUCUUCAUUCAGCAAGAACAAGAAUAUAUACUGAGUAACAAACUUGACCUGCACGCUGCGGUCCGUAUGUAUGUACUCACGGCAUUAAAAAAGGAUUGAACACACCUUCACUGGUUUACUCAUUACGGCAAUAGGAGGGCUAUAUAAAGACAUACCACCCUCCUCAUUUCUACACAUCCAUAGCAAAAAGAGUACACAAAAGCGACAGCAAAGUUGGAAACAGCAGCAGAGUAGAUCAUGGUCAGCUCCAAGGCUUUCCUCCUUGCCAUCCUUGGUUGUGCCAGCUUAUGCAGUUCUGUCCUAGCUGCUCGUGAGCUGAGCGAUGCGGCCAUGGUCGAAAGGCACGAGAAUUGGAUGGUUGAGUAUGGCCGUGUCUACAAGGAUGCAGCUGAGAAGGCACGGCGUUUUGAGGUGUUCAAGGAUAAUGUGGCAUUUGUCGAGUCAUUCAAUACCAAUAAGAACAACAAGUUCUGGCUUGGUAUCAACCAGUUUGCUGAUCUGACCAUUGAAGAGUUCAAAGCAAACAAAGGUUUCAAACCAAUUUCAGCAGAAAAGGUUCCAACAACUGGAUUCAAGUAUGAGAACUUGAGUGUCAGUGCGCUUCCGACAGCUGUGGACUGGAGGACCAAGGGAGCUGUCACACCUAUCAAGAACCAAGGCCAAUGUGGUAUGUGCAAUUGUGAUCAUACUUGAAACAGUUAAUUAUUUAUGUGGUGAUAUAUACAUGGUGGUUAAGAUCUUUUGAUGACAUGUACAAUGACACAAAUAAAUAAUUGUAGGUUGCUGCUGGGCAUUCUCGGCUGUAGCUGCCAUGGAGGGCAUUGUGAAGCUAAGCACGGGCAACCUCAUCUCACUCUCCGAGCAAGAACUGGUGGACUGCGACACCCACAGCAUGGAUGAGGGUUGCGAGGGCGGCUGGAUGGAUAGUGCCUUUGAGUUCGUCAUCAAGAAUGGAGGCCUCGCCACCGUGUCGAGCUAUCCAUAUAAGGCAGUAGACGGCAAAUGCAAGGGUGGAUCAAAGAGCGCUGCAACCAUCAAAGGUCACGAGGACGUGCCAGUGAACGACGAGGCUGCACUCAUGAAGGCCGUGGCCAAUCAACCCGUGUCUGUCGCUGUCGAUGCGAGUGAUAGGACUUUUAUGCUUUAUUCCGGUGGUGUGAUGACUGGCUCUUGUGGCACUGAGCUGGAUCAUGGGAUUGCUGCCAUCGGGUAUGGCGUGGAGAGUGAUGGCACAAAGUAUUGGAUUUUGAAGAAUUCUUGGGGCACCACAUGGGGAGAGAAGGGAUUCCUAAGGAUGGAGAAGGACAUUUCUGACAAACAAGGAAUGUGUGGCCUUGCCAUGAAGCCUUCGUACCCCACAGAGUAGAAAAACAACCAAGAGUUUGUUUCAAAAAACAUCAUCAGCUUGUAUUGAAAUCGUUAUAUGUGUGCCUUCUGCACUCCUAUACACAGUUUGUUCUUUAUGUACUGUACAUUGUACAUGUGUAACUUUUUUCAUGUUUGUGAACUUUGUAUAUAUUAUCGACAUUUGAAAUAGUAUCUUAAAGCUCCAUACAAAGUUUUGAAACGACUGUGACGCCUAAGAGGGGUUGAAUUAGACAACCUAAACUUCUGCAUGUAAAUAAAUAACUAUCUAAAAGUACAACUAUGGUUUUGCUAGGUGUGUUGCACUAUCUCUACCACAAAAGAGUUAAGCACCGUAAGCUCCAAUCCUAUCAUCAACUAGCCUAUCAAACUAAGCUAGAAAAGUAAGUACAUAACCAAGAUACACAAUAGAAAUAUAGAAGGUAAAGAUGAGGUAGAGAUGUAAACUUCCGUCGAGGACACUGGUAUUUUUACCGAUGUAUCGAGAAAUACUCAAGCUUCCCCCAAGUCCUCAUUGAAUCCCCUCGCAAGGGCCAACCACUCAGUCGGGUAAAUCUGUGGAUAGCCCUGGGCCUUCCUCACGCCAAGUGGGUCUCCAGUGUGUCUCGUGGCAAUCCUCUCCUAAACCGCUCCAUGCCGUCUUCACCAUCAAGCUUCUGACUGAAAAUGCCAUGAGCCUUGUUUCCUCUUACACACGUGGUUGGUAUGCUCUCGUAAGACUUACAAGCCUCGCUGAGUACAAACAUGGUGGACGCAAGCAUCUAAGAUCAAGUGCUGUGCCAACCUGACUAAACACUAGGCCUAAUACCUAGAGCAAGCGCAAAGCGGUGCUCGAACUUACCUAAGCACUUCGCAAAGCAUCUACACUAAUCACCAAAUAUUUCUCUAAGCACUAUGCAUGUCGAGAUCACUAAAAUAGAGUAUCAUCUCACUUUGUAUUUUUCUCGGCAACUUCACACCCCAUUUCGCCAGUUCUAACUUAUAUUUAUAGCGCACAUUGCAAAUAGAGCCGUUAGUAGGUUGGAUUGUUGGAAGCCAUUUUCUCCAUACUGUUCGACUAGUUGCUAUAGUAGCAACUACUCCCUCCAUUCCAAAUUAAGUGUCAUUUUAGGUUUUUGUGCUACAAGUUUGAUCCGAUUUAAAGAAAAUACGUGUAAUAUUUGUAUCUCCAAAUAAAUUUGUUAAAAAACUAGACUCCAAGAUCUUUCAACUAAUAUUAUUUAUGUACUUUAAAUAUUAAUAUUUUUAAUAUAUAUUUAGUUAAAAUUAUUUAUCAGAAAGCACAAAUGACACUCAUUUUGGAACUAAGGGAGUACCUAUUUUAGCAAAAAAAAACUACGCGCUGGCUGCUGGGCGGGCGCUGCUAAUUUUGUCAGGGUCGCAAGCGAGCAUGCAAGGCGGAACGGCAGCACGUCCACCUCGCCCUUGUGCAUGCACGUUGUGUAUGUUAGAAAUCAGCUCUUUGCACACAGAAACACAGGACACAGGAAACAACAAGAAUAGAGAGGAAUUGGGAGAAGUGAGAGCUCUUUCAUUCACUUUCUUUCAUAUUGCUUACAUCUGAUGAGGGUUACCUCAUAUUUAUAGAGCAUGGAGUGUGUGUGAACUCAUUGACUUUCUCUCCCUCUCUCCAUUAAUUUGGCCACACUCAAAGUCUUCCAUUCAUACACUAUUUUUAGUCUUUUUGAAGACUUUGAUUUUCAACACUCCCCCUUGGCCAAAUUUAUGCCAUGUGUAUGCCUCGUUAAAAACUCUCCCCAAAAAUCCAAUGGGAAAAAAGGGUAGGAGAAAAGAGUACAUCACACGCAUCGCUUAUGUUGCACCUGUUGCCUCGUUAAAAACCUUGCAUGAGAAAACCCAGUGGGAAAAACUCAUCAAGGAAAAAAGAGUACAACAGGUUGAUCUUCAGGACCGACUCGUGAUCUUCAGGACCACGGUCAUAGAUUAUGUCUUUGGGGCUGGUCUCCCCCUAAACCCUGCAACCCUCUAAGCCGCCUCAUACCAAUUCCAUGAAUGCACCUAUAGAAGCUAGAGGCAGAUAGAGAUUUCAUGAAAAGAUCUUUGCUUGCAGGAUAUUUAUCUUCCCGCUCUUCUGGAGCUUAUGGGGAUAAAAGAGUUUUUGGAGCAAUAUGCUUCGUGAUAUUGCUCUUGACAUAACCCAGGCACAUUUGUGCAACACAAGCCACAUUAUCUUCAUAGAUAAUGGUGGGGGUGUCGGCGACGUUCAAACCACAUGACUUCUGGAUGUGAUUGAUCAUUCGUCACAACCAAACACAUUCUUGUGCAGCCUCAUACAAAGCAAUUCUCUCUGAGUGGUUGGUCGAUGUGGCAACCAGGGUCUAUUUCAUAGACCGCUAGGAAAUGGCUGCUCCACCACAGAGAAAGACAAAACCAGUCUGUGAUCUGGCUUAUGUGGGUCAGACAUACAGCCAGCAUCCACAUAUCCCACCAUGGUUGGAGCUUGGUUCUUCGGGAACCAUAGACCAAUUUCUUGUGUACCUUGUAGGUACCUCAAGAUGGUUUUGACACCAACCCAAUGUCUCUCCUGGUUGGGGCAGCACUGUACCUUGCCAACAGAUUUACUGCAAACGCAAUGUCAGGUCUAGUGUAGUUUGCAAGGUACAUCAGUGCUCCAAUGGCGCUUAAGUAUGGAACUUCGGGUCCCAAUACUUCCUCAUCAUCACCCUUGGAUCUAAAUGGGUCCUUAUCCGCUUCCAGGGAUCAGACCACCAUGGGGGUCUUAAGAGGGUGACACUUGCUCAUAUUGAAUUUUUCAAGUACCCUCUUAGUAUAAGUGGACUGGUGUACACACACUCCUUCAGGGAGGUGUUCGAGCUGUAGGCCCAAACAAAAUUUGGUCUUGCCCAAGUCUUUCAUCUCAAACUCCGCCUUGAGGUAAGCUAUCGCUUCCUCAAUGUCCCUUGUAGUCUCGAUGAUGUUCAAAUCAUCGACAUAGACAGAGAUGAUGCAAAAUCUAUCAUUGGAUUUCUUUAUGAAAACAUAGGGACAAUCAUCAUUAUUGAUGUAACUUCUUUGCAGGAGAAAGUUACUUAAUUGGUUGAACCACAUCCUUCUGGAUUGUCUCAACCCAUACAACGACCGCUGCAGGCGGACGCUAAACAUGUUGCGAUUUUGAUUCGGUCCAGGGAUCUUUAGUCCUUUAGGGAUUCUUAUGUGGAUUCCCGAAUCAAGUGACCAUACUAGUAUGCGGUCACAAUAUCCAUCAACUGCAUUUUUAAGUUCAAGUUAGCUGCCAUAGAUAUAAGGUAUCAGAACGUUAUGCCACUCAUAACAGGAGAGUAAGUCUCAUCAUAAUCAAUGUCGGGUCUCUGCGUGAACCCUGUGCCACCAGCCUCGUUUUGUGCCAUGUUUAUUCCUCUUCAGGAGGAAGACCUAUUUGCAUCCUUCAGGGAUGACUUUGGAGGUGUUGGGACUGCAGGCCCAAGAAACCUCUUUUUCAUAAAGCGAGCGCAAAUCUGCCUCAAUUGCGGCUUUCCAUUUGUCCCAAUCUGAGUGCUUCCGGCACUCUGCCGUGGACUUUGGUUUGGAUCCGGAUCCAUUGAGCCAACAAUUUUGAGGCAAAAUAUGUGUUGACAACGGCGGUCUUUCUAUAAUAUGACUCUCUUGAUUCCGCAUAAUUAGUGACGAUCUCCUCAUGAUCGUCCUCCCACUCAUCGUGAUUUCCCAUAACGAUUGAGUUGGGGCGUUCCGAUCUUCCAAUGCGACGGUGCGCGCUUGACGCAUUGGGAUUUCCAUCUUCAGGAUGGUGUCCUUCAGGGAUCUCCUCAACUUCAGAUUGAGUUGCCACUUCAGGGGCAUUCUCCACUUCAGGUCGAGCUUCUUCAACUGAUUCUUUAAAUGAUACAAGUGGCUCAAGACCUUGUCUACAUGGACGCCUCCACGAAAUCUUGUCUGAGCACCCAGAGGUCUCCCCCUCAACCUAGGAUCAGGAUGGAGACAAUAGAGUUGGUAACCUUCAGGGGUACCCGAACUCUCUCUAGCACAUUUACUACAGGUAAAUGUGGCCUUGUCAUUUUUCUAAUUAGUGAAGGCAUUUGGCAUCUCAUUUGCAGUAAUUUUCAAAUGCAUACUUUUCUGAACUUCUGGUCCAGAUUUACUAGAAGGAAUGCAUUUAUUCCUUUUCAUGCAAUUUCUCGGCAUUCUUCUGGAUGCCUAUCUCCCCCUAAUGCUGGGAAAUGCAAUCAGCAUACUGAGCCUCAUGAAGAUCCCCAGUCAUAGGCUCAUACAUCUCAACUUCUGGUGGGGUUUCUUUGGUGUACGCUGAUAUGGCGAUACUGGCACAUAUAUCGCAUAACUUAUACGCAGAUGGGAAAUACUUUCUUUCUCACACACUAUCCAUAUGGGGGAUGUGCAGUUGACCUGAGUUGGAUAAAUUUUACAGUAUGCAAUGCUGCAUGGCCCCAACUGCUGGUUGGCAGCCUUUGAUUUUGCAGCAAUGGCCAUACAUUAUCCACUUGAUCCUUUUGAUCAAGGACUCAACUAGGCCUCUUUGUGACUCAUCCCUAAUCUUCAGGAGGGAUGGCCUAGUGAUUAACCUUCCCUUUGCACGUGCGGUGCAAAUAAAAUCUUCAGGAUUAGGGAAGUUUUUAUGGCCAAUAGAAUUAUUGAUGAUUUUCUCAUCAUAUCCAACUCAGGAUGACCCAAUUGGCCAUGCCAUAUUUCUCUAAAAUAAUAUGGCUUUUAUCACAACAUAUUUCUUAGUGGGAUUGUGUAUAUGUAGUACAAGCCCAAUGAAGGAAAUACAUCCACCACAUACUUUAAAUGCUUAUGGGAGAACUAGUGCGGCACUUCCGGUGCCCUUGAUAUGAACAUUGCUUCUGGCAAUGGUCAUAAUACUUCCAUUUCCUAGUCAAUGUUUGGAAAUAUCUAGUUUCCCUUAACAUUAUAUUGGCGGUGUCACUGUCUACAGGACAGGUUUCCACUUCAAUCAUAUGGGCUCCCACCAGGUAUGAGAAUUUGGAGAUUUGGCAUAUAAACCAACAUUCAUAACUUAUUAAAAAUGCUCUGCAGGAGCAUGCAUGGCCAUCACUCAACAUGCUAUAAAUGCUCUUCAGGAGCAUGAAUGGCCAAACUCAAUUGGUGUAUGUGGACAUUUUAUUGCGACUAACAUGAUAUCUCAGGGAUUAGCAGGUCCCUAGAUAUAUCACAGAAAUCAGGAGAAGGUUAUCCCCACUCACAUCAACUUGGAUGUUUUCAUCAUCUCUUUUCACGGUGACAAAUGUGUCUUCCACAUUUCUGAGCUUCAUGCUCAGUGGUGAGGUGGGAUUUAUGUUGACUCUCCUUGUUCUUGUUUCUGGAAGAACUUUGGCAGAGAUCAACUAGGUGUUUUAGGGGCACGACAAUUGUGGAACCUAUGUUCCAUGCCUCCACAUCUAGAACAGCGAUCCCACUGCUAAGAUGUUUCACCUGUGACCUUCUCAAAUCCGCUUUUACCCCCUUGGGAUGACACCUCUUUUCCCUUCAAUUUUCCCUUUCACGGCCCUCUUUGUGGUUGCUAGAAUUCCCAGCAACGCUAACAUGUGCUUCGGGGCACAGUUGCCGUGCAGAAUGAUCGUUCUUGAGAACCUCAUUCUAUUGCUUUUGCAACCAAUAGUACCGUUAUCAGCCUAUAGUACUUCAGGUACUUAUAUAUUGCUGAUAUAAUACUAUGUUGUCGGGAUGGAAGGUAUAAAAGAGUUUCCCUGAUCAUAUCUGCGUUAGUGAACUUCUGGCCACAUAGACGCGGUCUAGACACAAUCUUGUAUAAAGCAAAGUCGUACGCUGUUACAGACGUAUAAUAUCUAAAAUGUAAGACGAUCCAGUCAUAUUGACUUUUGUUGGUUUAAAGCGGUCCUUCAGGGACUACUAUGAAUCAUCAUCAUUUAUAUAUCCAGACUUCAGGUCUGAGUGUAUAUGGUAUUGCAAAGAGUGCAAUGCCUCUGCUUUAUCAAGUAUUGUGUGCUCAUCAUUGCCAGCUUCAGGCUGAACAAUGGUGUAAUCGAGGCACCAGCCGUCAAGUUUUCAUCUCAACGUCAAUCCCCAAGUGAGGUAGCUGCUGUCAUUCACAACUAGCUUAGCGAAUCAUAUUUUCACAAUGUCCGACCAAUGACUAGUGAAUGUCGGUUACGCGUAAUCUUCAGGAUUACGACCAUGUGUAAUCUUCAGGAUCACACAUUCUUAUAUAGUCUUCAGGACUAUAUUUCCCCAAAUAUCUCAUGCAUAUAAUCUUCAGGAUCAUAUGCGGUUCUCAUAAAUACUUGCAUAAAUAUGCAAAAAUUAAAUGACCGUAAGAAAGUAAAUUGUAGUAAAUAAAUAUGACUUGCAGUAAUAUAAAACUUGCAAUAAGAUAAACAGUCAUGUCAUGUAAGGACUUCAGGCCUUAACGAGUUUACGGGCUUCUAUCCACGUAGUGGUAUGACAUGGUGAACUGCAGGUUCACUACUUAUUGUUUGCGGGCUUCGGAUCAUAUGUGUGUGGCUUUUUAGCCUCUGUAUAUGGACCAAAAGUUCGUGGACACAAGGCUUCAGGCCUUUGUCUAGCGGCUUCAGGCCGUCUAGAUAAGUGGUCCAGUGCACAUAGAUCAAAAUAAAAAAUGUCUUUGAUUGUAAUCUUUAGGAUUACAAUUAGGUGUAAUCUUCAGGACUACACUUUUUAUUUCCCGCAUGUAAUCUUCUGGAUUACCUUUAUGGAGUAAAUACGUAGAAUUUAAAUGCAGUAAGUAAUAACAACAAUAACAAAAGAAAUAUGGUGGACUUCAGGCCACACAUGUUUCACGGACUUCGGGCCGUGUAUUUUGUAUUAUAGUGGACUUCAGGCCACCUUUUUUUACGCAAAUAAUAUGCACUGCCCAUCCUAAAUGGGUUAUCAAACCAAAAUCAUCUUUCAUGGGCCGACCAGAUCGGCCCAAUCAAUUGUGGUCGUUCAUCACGAUGGACGGCCUAGAUUCACUCUGGCCUCACAUAAAUAGGGAGGAUAAAACCCUAACCCUAUCCAUUUCUCUCCUAUUCUUUCUCUCUCUUCCUUAUCUUCUUCAGGAAGGCAGGAAGAGGAGCAGGUGGGAGGUGGCCUUGGUACGGCGGCCUGCAACGGCCAGCCCGGCACGCGGCGGCGCUCUCGGCCUGGCACGCGGCCCGCCCGCGGCCGGUCUGGCUCGCGGCGGCACCUGCGACUUGGCUCGUGGCCCGCCUGCGGCAGGCCAAGGCGCACGGCACGCGGCACGGCGGCGGCGGCCCUCGCGGCCUGCCGGCGGCCAGCCAUGUCGCGCGGACGGUAGCCGACUGGGACGCGGCCCUCUCCCAGCGGCUUAGCAGGGGAGCGCGACCCCACAUCGGGCGGCUAGGGGUGCCCGACCCCGGCAGCGUCGCGGCCAUGGCGCGGCCCGCAUGCAGCCGGCUUCGGCGAGCGGCACGGCCAGGGCCCGGCGCGGCCUCCCCCAUGGCGGCGCUGCUUCGGUGGCCGGGCCCGCGGCCGGCUCGUGUGGGCCUCGGCGGACAUAGGAGGGGGCACGUCCCCCCCCCCCCCCCGCGGCUGCAGCAGGGGCGCAGCUCCCGGCGGCGGCGCGGCCCGACCAGGGGGGAGCGCGCGGCCCCUUGGCGGGCGUGGCCGGGCGGCGCGGCGAGCCGGCCAGGGCGCGCGGCCUCCGUGGCUCGCGGCCCACCACGCAGCAAUUGCGGCCUGGCUCGCUCAUGGUCUGUACGGGGCAGCGCGAUGCCCGCAGCCUGCGUGUCGGGUCUGCUAGGUUCGCACGCAGUCUUCGGGGCGGCGUGGUUCAGCUUGCUCCUCUUUAGGAUGACGACGAUUUAGUAUUUGUACGGCACUUCGAGGCCGACGUUCGAAAGGAUGGGUUUGGCACUUCUGGGCCAUCGUUGCUUCGGACAAUCUUCUGAGUAAUGGCUUCAGGCCAUGCUCAAGGAUCACCGUGGUGCUUUCAAGCAUAUCCACUGGUGAUGAGUUCGUGAUGUGUUCGUCCAUCACGUUUGCGUGUUGUGGAACUGAUUUCUUACCUUCUUACCUUUUAGCUCGGUAGAACUCGUGCUGAUAACGUGUUAGAAAUCAGCUCUUUGCACACACAAACACAGGACACAGGAAACAACAAGAACAGAGAGGAAUUGGGAGAAAUGAGAGCUCUUUCAUUCACUUUCUUUCUUAUUGCUUACAUCUGAUGAGGGUUACCUCAUAUUUAUAGAGCACAGAGUGUGCGUGAACUCACUGAUUUUCUCUCCCUCUCUCUAUUAAUUUGGCCACACUCAAAGUCUUCCAUUCAUACACUAUUUUUAGUCUUUGUGAAGACUUUGAUUUUCAACAGUGUAUUGUUUUCUUCUUCCAUUUUUUGUAUUCCCUCCAUUCCAAAUUAUAAGUCAUUCUAAGAAUCUUAGAGAGUCAAAGCAUUUUUAAGUUUGACCAAAAAUAUAGAGAGAAAUAUAAAGAUUUAUGUCAUAAAAUAGGUGCACUAUGAAAAUAUAACUAACAAAGAAUCUAAUGAUACUUGGUUGGUGCCAAAAAUGUUAUUAUUUUGUUAUAUAAAUUUGGUCAACCUUGAAAAACUUUGACUCUCCAAGAUUCUUGGAAUGACUUAUAAUUUGGGACGGAGGGAGUAUUUAUUUCUUUGUUUUUUUUCUUUUUAUUUUUGUAUUUAUUUCUUUGCCAUCUUGCGCCGAGCUCGGCUCCCAUAUUCUUAGGACACACUGUUGUUACAGAGAGAAAAACCCUUUUCUAUCUUGAUAACCUGAAAUAAAAUGGCGGAGGAGAAGAAGGUUCCUUUUUCGGUAUCACUGGGAAGAGAUCCAUUGGAGACGUGGAUCAUCCGGAUCACAUUGUUGCCAAAGUCCAAACUAUUUGUACACCCUGUUAAACUACAAAAUAAAUAUUUGUAAAUUUAUUAGUUCAAUUCAGUCAUAUUGAUCAUCAAACACCAAAAUCAAAAUUAAAUGGGCCGAUGGUCCAUUUUCCUUAAAAGUUCCUUGAAGCCUGGAGUGUUCUUUAAAUAAUCACAUAACAUUGUGAUAAAAAUGUCCAGACCAUUUCAUACAUGUAGACUUGUAAGACCAGAUCUUCCUAUUUUAAAUACAUGACACACAAAAAUCAAUGUUGUUUGAAAUUUUUAUGUGGUGGGGUUUUCAUUUUCCUGUAUGCGCUGUGUGACUUAACCAAUACUGUAAACGAUAGUGAUGGCACGAACUAGAUAUUCAUUGAGAUAUCAUAUAUUAAUUUUCUAUUUUUUUGGCACGCAAGAGUCAUUAAUUGUAACUGCCCUUUUAUGAUAAAAGAUUGUGUGGAUUUCUUUGAGAAAAAAUUACAAUUUUGGGGUUGUAUAAGCAUCUUGUCCACAGUGAUGUAGUCGAACUAAACUUUUCUGGUUCCUUCAUACAAGCUAACAAGACUCAAACAUAGGGAUAUGUCAAGUCCUACUGUCCUAGGUAAGAGAUUCCCGAAGCUCGUGUGUACCUUCUUGCCAAAGGAUCGAGCGAAACCCAAGCAUGCCCUCGGCCCCUACUUGGGACUCAAGGGCUUACCAAGCCCUAGGCUUGUGUCCAAGGCUUACCGAGCUCUAGGCUUCCGACCAAUGCCAACCCAAGCCUCAUCCUCGGCUCCACCUCUAGUCCGAGCCAAGGGCCUGACAGGAGCCUAGCGUGACCUGACUGCCCAAGGCUCGGGGCUCCUCGUUGCCACCCAACAGGCAUGGCACUGUUGCCCAGUUCUCUGAUAAAGACAUGCAUGGGGCAUGACACAUUUGGAGAAUUCCUACCACCAACUUCAAGCGCUCAGGGGCUCCCAGGACACUCAUCAGCCCCUUAAGUCGGACACCUUCACCACCAAGAAAGCCUCCAAAAGGCGCACCCGGUGGAGGUUGAGUGUCAGAAACAGAGCAGCCAGACUUGUUCAAGGCUCCUCUGACUCCACGACAACAUAGAGGUCUAUCCACGCUGCAGCAGUGCCCUCCUAGACAACACAUUUAGACCAUAGAAUAGGACCACAAAUCGCCUUGUACUCGACCUACCACUAUUUAUAAGGUGAGGUUGGAUCCUAUUGAGGGAAGUGAUCCCAGAGGAGAGGUAGAGGGAGGUCGAACAAAAGAAAUCCAACCGAAUAGAGUCCAAGCUCUGCAACGAAAGCAUAGCCACAGAAAGGAGUAACCGAGUGCUCCUCCACCACUAUCUUUUCGCCCUCUGACAGUGAAGAAACCUCACCAUAGAUACCUAGGAUAGCAAUGAAGCAAUCCCUUUUGAAAUCUCUUACAUAGUCUUGUUGUAGCCUAAUGCUCUCAAAUACAAGGAACAUCUACCUCUAGACGUAGAGCCCUAAUAGUCCAAAUUAGGAUAAAUCCUUGUCGCUUCUAUGUGUUCUUGAUGCACCUGAACCACCAAGGAUCCACACUCAAUGACACCUGACUAACACAAUUCUGCCAUGGUUUUGAUCCCAUGAUAGUUGGCAUGCUAUGCUGCUAGUUAAGGAAGCGUGUAAGUGUGAUUCACGCUCUACAGUGGCCAGAGUCACCCGCCUCAAUGCCGAAGUAGGCGAUGCCACCCCAAACGGUAGUGUCCACCUCCCAGCGAGUUCUCCAUCACAGCCAACGCCUUCAUCCCUGGCUAGGUCCUCAACUUCGAGAGCCUAGCCUAAGUCGCUGACUGCUACAGUGAAGCUGACCCGCUCAAGGAGGCUGCACCGGUGGACAACGAGUUUCGAGAAUCAUCUCCUCUGCCGAGCCUCUUGGGAGCAGAUCUUGAGGUCCUCGCCUGGCAAAUCUGGCAUGGCCUUGGCCCGAACCACACCAUGUCAGAAUGCCACAAGAUGUUCUACAUGCUGGCCAACGUCCACUACCAGAUGACUUUUGGCAAGCUACUCUCGCCGAGCACUUCUGGUACUACCUGCCGAACCUACCACACGAGAUCUAGAAUGUCGCAACGUCCUUCUAGCUAGAGCUCGAGCACAAGCACCUUGUUAGACGGGAGGCAAGCGAGGCGCCAUCCUCUCCGGCAUAGUGGGGACCGAUUUCCCCUCCCUACACUCUUUCCUCAAGAUCCUCUCGGGGAACGGCGUCGAGUACGAUUCCGACAACAUCGACUACUACUCUCCAUUCCCUGGGUGCUUCAACACUAACGACGAGACUCUCGUUGAUGACGCCCCUAAGCUCACGCCGCCAGACAAGAGGCCUCACAUCCUCACGAAGUACCUUCAUGAGAAGGCAGUGCGGACAUGGAAGCUACCGAGGUGGAGCUCGCGAGCAGGCAGCACGGACCGACGACGCCGAUCACAUGAGGGCCCACCCGUUCGUUUGUCUUAUAAGUUGUACUUUUUCUGCGAGUCACUAGUGUUUUUCUCUCACGAUAAAUCAGCAAACAGUAUUUUCAGUCAUAGCUUUUCAGACCAGCGAACAGGCAAAAAAAAAUUAUGCCCUUACAACGUUUCAAAUGCUGCAUAAUAGUUUAUAUAUUUUUGUAUAUGGAAGAUCCCUAUUUCAUUAUUGCACUAGAGCACAGAAGCAUUUUCUAUGUAUGUAUCACAAAGUAGCACCUAUAACCCCAGACAUAAUGUAAUAUACAGUAACACAUACAAUCCACAAAGAUAUAGGAAUUAAGUAACUAAUGCAUUAACUUUGAAAACUAAUUUGAUGAAUACUUCGCCACGAAUUCACAAACAUUCUUGUCCGAGCUCCCUCCAUUCUGCAUGGCUUCCUUGGCCUUUUGCAUCCACAUAGUGGCGUUCAUCCUAUAAUUAUCCUUUCUAUCCCCAUCCAUAACAUCCUUGAUGCACCUUUCCACCUCGUCUCUCGUCACCAAGCCUUUCUCAUCCUUGCGCACCCGGACACCCAAUCCCCAUAUGCUCUCCAUAUAUUUUGAUAUGGUCGGCUGGUCUGCCCAGUGUGGUAUUGCCACCAUUGGCACACCAUUAACUACUGCUUCCAGCGUCGAGUUCCAUCCGCAAUGUGUGAAGAAACAACCUGCAUAUUAAAAGUAUGCAACAACUAAAUUUUAUAUUUCUUAUCAAUAAGUCUCAUUUUCUCUUAUAUGUAGAAGAAUAUCCAUUUCCCAUACCUGUGGCUUUAUGUGCUAGAACUUCGAGCUGGGAGCACCAAGAAACGAUAAGGCCACGUUCCUUGCACUUGGCACGAAGUUCAUUGGACAAUUUGUGUUCUUCGUUUGACCUCACAACCCAAAUGAAUGGUUUGCCAGAAUUGUACAAUCCAUUGCCCAGCUCUUCUAACUGUGCUUCAUCAUAAUCAGAGACAGUACCAUAGGAUACAAGAACUACAGAACAUGGAAGCUGCUUGUCAAGCCAAUCCAGACAAGACUCGCUGCUGUUGAAGAGGUUGAAACCGUAACUCUUGUUCAACGGCAAGCGGUCAUCAUCAAGAUAAAAUGAUGGCAAGGUUGGGCCUAUUGUCUUUGCACGCCACGUUAGUGCCAUAUAAUCUGCCUCCUGCUCAGUUAACAAUGCAAAUGUGUCAAAAGAAGAGAAUCAAUCUUAUGAUGGUGAAGUGGAAUCAAAGGAUCACAACAAACAGACCAAUCAUCGAUUAUUCAGUAAAGAAGCAUGACUAUGGAAGAAUCUUGACGUUUGUAUCUAUAAGGAAAAACAGAGUACGUACAAGCAGCACCGAAAAUUCACUUGAGCAAAACAACAAACAGGUGCCGGCCGUGGUCAUGCAUGGUGAGCUCACCUUGGGUUCGAUCUCGUGGAAUGAGUUGACGAGCACGUCGUCGGCGUCCUCCAGCCCCUCGAACUGCCGCGUGCACGCCUCAAGGAACACAGGGCACCAGUCCGGCUUCGCCGCGAACGGCGGCACCUCGUCGGGCCCGAGCUCCACACCCAGCAACCCGCGCGCAAACAGCUCUUUCCCGUCCACCACCGGCAGUGGCAGCCGCCCCGCCCACACCUCCCCGUAGACGACGUCGACGGCGCAAGGCUGCGACAGGAACGCCGCGGUCGGCACCCCAGCCGCCUUCGCCACGCGCCGCGCCCACGGCAGGUGCGGGUCGUAGACCAGCACGCGCACGGGGCGACCCUCGGCAGCCUCGGAGCGGAUCAGCUCCGCCAGCGUCUCCGAGCCGACGGCCUCGAGCUGGCGCCAGUACACUUCAACGUCGGAGCACGCGGCCGCGCCGCCGUCGUCGAAGCCGUCGGAGAUGGCGGCCACCCUGAAGGGCUCACCUGGUGGCGGGGUGGUGGAGAGCACGUACCGGGAAGUGACGAGCGUGGGGUGGAAGCCGUGGUAGGCGAGGCGGCGGCCGAACUCGAGCAGCGGGUUCGUGUGGCCCUGCGCGCCUGGGUACGGCAGGAGCAGCACGUGUGCGCCGCCGCCGCGGGUAGCAGAGGAGGAAGAUGAGGUGGUGGUGGUGCUCGUGCUCCCCAUUGUUUGCUGUCUUCGGCUCUUCGCAAUGAACACAGGCUGGAGUUUGCGAAACAAUAAAUAGGCGUUGUUUGUUCCUUGCGGUGGAGGUGGGCAGGUGGCGUGGCGCGCAAGUUUUUUUUGGUUCAGUUGGAAAGUUGGAGUUGAUUUGGAGUUGUCUGCCUUCUUUUUUUUUUCUGCCGCCAAGCCAACAAUAAGGUAGAGCCUCAAGCACCCAGCUUUUCUUUCAGAACCCAGAUGGAUCGGAUGGUUCCUGUCAUCUUCUACCUCGGAGCAUCUUCAAGAGUUUUCCAAACCCAGUUCUAAUCUUGAUUUUUUGCAAUUGAGUAAAAUGCGCUGUCAUUAUAUAUAAGUCGUUUUGGCUCUUAAUCAUGUGCACCACUAGCUAUCUAAACCUAGAUAUACUCUGAGUACAAGUGCAUUGAUGAUUGAGUGAAUCUCGACAUUUAAUCUUGCUCCUAGAACAACACAUAAAGAGGGACAGAGGGAGUAGAUAGUUCAUUAAUUUGUGAGGGUUUAUCGAUUUGGUCAAUCAAGUUUGAAAGUGCAUUUUUUGUCUAAAAUCUUGAUUAGUGCUACAUAUAGAGUUUAUACCCCUUCAUUUUAUAUUUAUAUAUUUUUUUAGAAAAUCCUCUAUACCUUUUUUUCUUUCACAAGUCGAGGCUGCGCUCCCGCUCGUCCAGCACGCCACACCUGCCUGCAUGGAUGUAGAAGUGCUGCGUGUGGUUGUUGUUCUGGGAGCUGCAUGUGGGCAGCAUGGUCGUGCUGGCGUCCAUGUUUGAGUUGGCGUUGGAGCCCUUUUGCAUCCACAGAGCCACGAAGGUGAAGUCCUACGUGGCAGACUUCAAUCUGGUAUUGGAGCACUUCUACAUCCACAUGGACGGUCGUGGUGUGCUGGACGAGCUGGAGCACUGUCUUGAUUUGUGAAAGGAAAAUAAAUACUCAAGGUUUUCUACAAAUAUAAACAAAAACAAAAAAGGUAUGGACUCUUUAUGCAACUGAUCAAGAUUUUAGAUCUAAAAAUGCACUUCUAAAUCUGAUGAACUAAAUCGACACACCCUCACAACUUAAUGGACUAUCCAUGCAUUUUACUUGUUGAAAAAAUUGCUCUCAUAUAACUCCCUAUCUCAAUUCCUAAUCUUUCUACACUUUGAAAAAUUGAUGCACGCCUCGAUAGGUUAGGAUGAAGAUGAAUGUGGGAAAGAAUAUGGAGUAGGACCAGGCUCUUGGUAUGAACAUACAAGAGACAAAAAAAAUGUAUAAAAACGAUUAUGGUGAUUCCAAAAUAGUCCGGGUUUCUUUGUAACAUUGCUUUUUAUAUAUUUUAUGAGUCAUAUUUUGAAAACUGCUGGAGCAAAUAUGCUCCUAGUUUUUUGAGCCACAUGGAAAACUCAUUAGUUUACCAAUUGUUUUUUAGAAUAAUUGGAGAUGCUCUUAUAUGUUAUUCUUUGACAUUUGUCUUAUGCAGUUCAACUGAGCUAUCGCCGACCGUCGCGUUUCAGAAAACGAAAUUGGAAGCUUAAGUCCUUUUAUAAAUCACGUUGUUUCCCCCAACAUUUGAAAUUGAAAACCGUUGCAUUCAGACUACUUUCGGCCUUGUCACUUUCAGUUUCAAAUAUUAUAUAUAUUGGCUUGGAUUUGUCCUGUCCUCUGCAAUUCAUCUAGAGAUGACUUGGAUAUAUAUGGCCUUGUUUAGAUGCGAAAAGAUUUUGGAUUUCGCUGCUGUAGCACUUUCGCUUGUUUGUGGCAAAUAUUAUCUAAUUAUAAACUAAGUAGGAUCAAAAAAUUCGUCUCGCGAUUUACAGGUAAACUAUGCAAUUAGUUUAUAUUUUUAUUUAUAUUUAAUGCUUCAUGUAUGUGUCGAAAAAUUCGAUAUGACGGAAAAUUUUAAAACUUUUUGAUUUUCAGGAUAAACUAAACAAGACCAUGGACGGAAACAUACCUCAAAGGUAGAAUGCUCAUUCCAAACAAGUCCCUGGAUAGGAAGCAACUAGGAAGCGACGGCUAGCCGGCCCAACUGCUCGGCAUGCAGGAUGCACGUGCGCCUAGUUUAAAAGUCAACGCAGCUUUGCUCAGUCCACGCAAAGUUAAUUUUCUGACCUUGAGGGACGGCAGGAGACGAAGAACCUUGCGCGCCACUCCGUUGACACACACCCGGCCACCCACACUUACUCACAAUUCCAAAACUUUUCAACAUUUUCUGUUACAUCAGAUCUUACGGCACAUGCAUAGAACAUUAAAUAAAAAAUAAAUAAUUAUAUAGUUUGCUAGUAAUUUGUAAGACGGAUUUUUUAAGUAUAGUUAGUCUAUGGUUGGACAAUAGUUACUAAAUACAAACGAAAAUGCUACAGCACAAAAAAAAUUCACCCAAGGAACUAAACAAGGCCUAGAUGAAAAAUUUUGGGUUUAGCUACUAUAGCACUUUCAUUUGUAUUUGACAAUUAUUGUCCAAUCAUGAACUAUGGGCUCAAAAGAUUCGUCUCGUAAAUUACACGAAACUAUGCAAUAAGUUAUUCUUUUAUCUAUACCAGGUAAAUGCCCGUGCAAUGCAACGAGAACACAAAAUAUCAUGAUAACAUAUGUAUGAGGGUGUUCAAGAAAGAUAGAUAUUUAACUCUAACUUUGAAUACAAAACUAAAACAUUAACUUUAAUUAUCUAUAACGUAAGAACUUAUAUUGCAACUAUGAUAAUUAAACAUUAAUAUAAUAUUAUAAAAGUCUUUAAUAAUAGGUUAUUGUUAUAUAUAAUUUGUACAUCCAAUCAGUAACAUGUCAGCUAAUCAUAACUAAUUGUCUCUCAUUUCUUUGUGACCUCCUCUAUUAUUUGAAAGAACAGAAAUAUUUGAAACAUACACACGUGUAUAUUUGAUGCAACAUUAUAAUAUUGGCUUUUUCUUGCACCGUUCCGAAACAACGUACGGCCUUAUUUAGAUUGCUUCAAAAUUCUAAAUUUCCACAUUUUCUCCAUCACAUCAAAUCUUUUGACACAUGCAUGGAGCAAUAAAUAUUGUCAAAAAAGUAACUCAUUGCACAAUUUGCUUGCAACAAGAGACUAAUCUUUGGAACCUAGUUAGUCCAUAAUUGGACGCUAAUUGACAAAUACAAAAGAAAGAACUACAAUAGCAAAAUUUUUCCAAAUUUGCAAUUUAGUUGUAGCAUUUUGUAGUAUGCUCCUCUUUCAAGGUCACAACAUGCAAAGUGGGGCGCAACAAGCUGGGUGUUGGGCUGGCGCUGCGGCCCACCAAGACCCACCGAUCGGAGGGCCGAACAAGAGCAUUACCAGCGAGCGAGCGAUUGGUCGGGUGAACGAUUUACUUUCACCCCUUUUAGUAGUAGGAUAAUUGACAAAUACAAAAGAAAGUGCUACAAUAGCAAAUUUUUCUAGAUUCGCAACCUAGUUGUAGCACUUUGCAGUAUGCUCCUCUUUCAAGGUCAUAGCAUGCAAAGUGGGGCGCACCAAGCUGGGUGUUGGGCUGGCGCUGCGGCCCACCAAGACCCGCCGAUCGGAGGGCCGAACAAGAGCAUUACCGGCGAGCCAGCGAAUUGGCCAGGUGAACGAUUUACUUUCACCCCUUUUAGUAGUAGGAUAAUUGGCAAAUACAAAAGAAAGUGCUAUAAUAGCAAAAAUUUUCCAGAUUCGCAACCUAGUUGUAGCACUUUGUAGUAUGCUCCUUUUCAAGGUCACAGCAUGCAAAGUGGGGUGCACCAAGCUAGGUGUUCGGAUGGCGCUACGGCCCACCAAGACCUACCGACUGGAGGGCCGAACGAGAGCAUUACCGGCGAGCGAGCGAUUGGCCGGGUGGAUGAUUUACUUUCACCCCUUUUAGUAGUAGGAUAAUUGACAAAUACAAAAUAAAGUGCUACAAUAGCAAAUUUUUUCCAGAUUCGCAACCUAGUUGUAGCACUUUGUAGUAUGCUCCUCUUUCAAGGUCAUAGCAUGCAAAGUGGGGUGCACCAAGCUAGGUGUUGGGCUGGCGCUGCGGCCCACCAAGACCCGCCGAUCGAAGGGCCGCACAAGAGCAUUACCUGCGAGCGAGCGAUUGGCCGGGUGAAUGAUUUACUUUCACCCCUUUUAGUAGUAGGAUAAUUGACAAAUACAAAAUAAAGUGCUAUAAUAGCAAAUUUUUUACAAAUUUGCAACCUAGUUGUAGUAUUUUGUAGUAUACUCCUCUUUCAAGGUCACAACAUGAAAAGUGGGGUGCACCAAGCUGGGUGUUGGGCUGGCGUUGCAGCCCACCAAGACCCGCCAAUUGGAGGGCCGAACGAGAGCAUUACGGGCGAUCGAGCGAUUGGUCGGGUGAACGAUUUACUUUCACCCCUUUUAGUAGUAUAAGAUAAUUGACAGAUACAAAAGAAAGUACUAAAAUAGUAAUUUUUUUUCCAAAUUCGCAACCUAGUUGUACCACUUUGUAGUAUGCUCCUCUUUCAAGAUCACAUCAUGCAAAGUGGGGUGCACCAAGCUGGGUGUUGGGCUGGCGUUGCGGCCCACCAAGACCCGCCAAAUGGAGGACCGAACGAGAGCAUUAUGGGCAAUCGAGCGAUUGGUCGGGUGAACGAUUUACUUUCACCUCUUUUAGUAGUAUAAGAUAAUUGACAGAUAUAAAAGAAAGUACUAAAAUAGUAAUUUUUUCCAAAUUUGCAACCUAGUUGUACCACUUUGUAGUAUGCUCCUCUUUCAAGAUCACAUCAUGCAAAGUGGGGUGCACCAAGCUGGGUGUUGGGCUAGCACUGUGGCCCACCAAGACCCACCGACUGAAGGGCUGAACGAGAGCAUUACCAACGAGCGAGGGAUUGGCUGGGUGAACGAUUUACUUUCACCCCUUUUAGUAGUAUAGGACAAUUGACAAAUACAAAAGAAAGUACUACAAUAGCAUUUUUUUUCUAAAUUUGCAACCUAGUUGUAGCACUUUGUAGUAUGCUCCUCUUUCAAGGCUACAACAUGCAAAGUGGGGUGCACCAAGCUGGGUGUUGGGCUGGCGUUGCGGCCCACCAAGACCCGCCAAUUGGAGGGCCGAACGAGAGCAUUACGGGCGAUCGAGCGAUUGGUCGGGUGAACGAUUUACUUUCACCCCUUUUAGUAGUAUAAGAUAAUUGACAGAUACAAUAGAAAGUACUAAAAUAGUAAUUUUUUUUUCCAAAUUCGCAACCUAGUUAUACCACUUUGUAGUAUGCUCCUCUUUCAAGAUCACAUCAUGCAAAGUGGGGUGCACCAAGCUAGGUGUUGGGCUAGCACUGCGGCCCACCAAGACCCACCGACUGAAGGGCUGAACGAGAGUAUUACCGACGAGCGAGGGAUUGGCUGGGUGAACGAUUUACUUUCACCCCUUUUAGUAGUAUAGGACAAUUGACAAAUACAAAAGAAAGUACUACAAUAGCAAUUUUUUCUAAAUUCGCAACCUAGUUGUAGCACUUUGUAGUAUGCUCCUCUUUCAAGGCUACAUCAUGCAAAGUGGGGUGCACCAAGCUGGGUGUUGGGUUAGCGUUGCGGCCACCAAGACUCGCCAAUUGGAGGGCCGAACGAGAGCAUUACGGGCGAUCGAGCGAUUGGUCGGGUGAACGAUUUACUUUCACCCCUUUUAGUAGUAUAAGAUAAUUGACAGAUACAAAAGAAAGUACUACAAUAGUAAUUUUUUUCCAAAUUCGCAACCUAGUUGUACCACUUUGUAGUAUGCUCCUCUUUCAAGAUCACAUCAUGCAAAGUGGGGUGCACCAAGCUGGGUGUUGGGCUAGCACUGUGGCCCACCAAGACCCGCCGACUGGAGGGCUGAACGAGAGCAUUACCGGCGAGCGAUGGAUUGGCUGGGUGAACGAUUUACUUUCACCCCUUUUAGUAGUAUAGGACAAUUGACAAAUACAAAAGAAAGUACUACAAUAGCAAUUUUUUCUAAAUUCGCAACCUAGUUGUAGCACUUUGUAGUAUGCUCCUCUUUCAAGGCUACAGCAUGCAAAGUGGGUUGCAUCAAGCUAGGUGUUGGGCUGGCAUUGCGGCCCACCAUGGCAAGGUGAACGAUUUACUUUCAUCUUUUUUAGUAGUAGGAUUUAAUGUUUUACAUAUGCGUACAAAGAUUCAAUGUGACGAAAAAUUUUGGAUUUUUUUUAGAACUAGACAAGGCCCAACACGUAUCAUUGUAUUAACCGCCGCCCUGAUGCUACCAACACAAACAAGUGCACUCGCUGCAAGAAGACACAAGCGAGCGAACAGAUGGAGCCAAUGAGCGGCCACAGGGAGCCACGCGCCGAGGCUACAGGGAUUCAGUGUCACAAAUGUAACUUACCUCCUCCAUCUAUACCUCUAAAUCAGAUGUGGCUCAAAACAGAUUCAGCCUUUCAACACAUGAGACUUGGGCAUAUAAAACCAAAAACUUUCGACAUAUGAGACUUGGGCUUGUCUCUCAAGUAACUACGGAGAAUAUCCUUAUAUAUUGGAUUUUCCUUUCCUAAACAAACCAACUCAAAUCUUCUAAUAUAUCCAUACUCCUUAUUAUUUUCUAAUUCCUUCGUGGAAGGUAACACCGUACCGAGCCGCUGCUACAGCCAGCAUCGGCGCUGGGCGUCCGCGCGCCCCUUCCUGGGCUGCCGCUUAAUUGGCCCAUUGGACACAGGCUGCGGUGGCGCCCCAUUAUGCGCGUGACAUGCAUAAUAAAUCCAUUCGUGUGCGAUCUGUUUCAUCCACACUGCCUUAGAUUGGAUAGCCCUGUUUGGCAUUGCUGCAUUUAUAGAUUCAACAAAGUGAUUUAAACAUUUAAAAAUCUAAAUAUAAACAAAUUGAUUCAUCUAAAUGUUCAUUUUUUAGAUCUACAAGGAAAUCUAUACAUUUCCUAAUCUAAAGCAAUGCUAAACAGAGGCCUAACGGUGACAACUUCAUUUUGGACAUACUAUAGGUCCUAGACUCUCCCUCAAUGACUAGACGUGUGAACCAAUUUCUCAUAAGGUAGUCAAUUGAUCAAUUUAAAAAUAUGCAGUUGCAGCCAAAAAAACCUGUUAGAUAUUGGCUACUUGUGGGCUAUGAAUUCCUCUCGAUUACAAAGACGAGCAGACAAAAUAAGAACACAAACUGGAGAAUGACUUAAACCACUUUUGUGAAACCUAGCACUAACCAAAGCAAAAGAUUUAGAUAUUCCAAAAUCCAAAAGGUGCUAAGUCUUCCAAACUUUUAAGAGCUAAUUAUAGGAGAAAAUGGUAACAGCUCAAAGACGACCUCAGACAUGUCACUGACUGACUAAGACUUGUCCGCGUACCGACAAAAGAAAUAUCCAAUGUGAUCAGAGGACAAUUAUGCCUUCCAUUCUACAAGACUUAGCAGUAGGCGCUAUAGUAUGUGAUCAGAGGACAAUUAUGCCUUCCCUUCGAUCUACUGCUACGGUAGAAGUUUGGCUGAUCAGGCGUAGACCACCUUUUUGAAAGACUUGCAUAUUUCAAGCAUGGAAUAGACAAAAGCAAGAGGCUCAUGCGCGUCGAGCUGCCAAAUCUGACGAGUUCAGUGUUGUUCUUUCAUGACACCACAUAAAGCAUCCGGUGACCAACCAACCAGUUCUACUGUCAAGUCUGAAGACUCCAAAACGCUGAGAGGUGCCAGUGGAAGUAGGAACUCAUAGACAAACCACAGUAAACAAUAAUGGCUCCUCUCUGAUAGAAAUUUAGGAUCGUCUAGCAGUAAAACAGAUCGGGAUUCGAGUACAACAACACGUAGCAAAUGAACAUAGACAAUAGUACUACACAUACAUGCACUAGAUCUACUACACAUAGAGAGAAACAGGGAGAUUUAGGAGUUUAGGAUUAGACCAUUGUGUCGAGCAGUAGGCGCUGCUCCGGCAGUGUCCAUGGUGUCGGAGUUGAUGCAGUUACGGAUUAGUCCCGUCGUCCUUCGGGCCUCCACGGGCACUGACCGACGACAGGGAAGGAGUAGGAGGGUGCAGUGGUGCUUCCCAACGCCACUGCGCACUGCUUGUCGAUCGGCGACCUAGGGUUGUGAGUAGGGUUUGGCGGCGCACGACGAAUCUCGUGUCGUGUGCCUGUAGCCCCCUACUCCUAUUUGUAUGGUGCAGCACGUCGGGGGCCCACCAACCAUAGAUCGGUUGGGCGCCCCCGAUCAGGGCGCAAUCCAGGGGAAAAGGCCCCAGCCGUUGGGCUAGGCCUGAGAUCAAUCUAACAUUCUCCCCCUUGAUCUCAUCUGUGCUCUCUCGCUUCGUCAACCCACCCCAUCACAAAUCAGUGUAUUGAGCAUGUUUCAUCUUAACAAUUAUCACUAUUAGAUUAGACAGCCACAAACACUUUUCUGUUUAGAGAUGAAUUCUCGCCUUGGGCCCCUUGCUAUUCGGGAAUCACAGGCUUUCCCUUAAACCUAUGCCGGCUACAUGUUCUCUGAACACAUUGGACGGUAAGCGUUUCGUACGCGGAUCCGCUAACAUCUCUUGUGUGCGUAUAUGUUCAAGACUUAUGACGUGAUACCGGAUUUUAUCCUUCACAACAUAAUAUUUUAUGUCAAUGUGCUUGGCAGCAUUGCUUGACUUAAUGUUGUGAGCAUACAACACUGCUGGCUCAUUGUCAUAAUACAACUUUAGUGGUUUAUCGAUGCUGUCGACCACCUUUCAACUGGGUAUAAAUUUCUUAAGCCAAUUCACCUGUCCUGAUGCCUCAUAACAAGCAAUAAACUCAGCGUACAUUGUGGACGAUGCAGUGACUAUUGUUUGUUUUGAGCUCUUCCAUGAUAUGGCUCCUUGCGCGAGAGUGAAUAUAUACCCUGAGGUAGACUUUCUAUCAUCUCCUGCGUAAUCAGAAUCUGACUUAAGACUUUCUUUACUAGAUUCCAGUGUUCCAUACCUGGAUUACUUUGAUAUCUGCCAAGCAGCCCGGUCACAAAAGUCAGGUCUGGUCGUGUGGACACUUGAGCAUACUGUAAGCUUCCGACAACUGAAGCGUAUGGAACAGCUUGCAUGCGAUCGCGCUCGAACUUGCUCUUGGGACAUUGAUGUCCCCAUACUUGUCACCUUUUACAAUAGGAGCAGGUGAAGGUCUACACUUAUUCAUAUUUAAUUUCUUCAAUACUUUCUCUAUAUAUGCCUCUUGGGACAAUCCCAAUACCCCUCGACUUCUAUCUUGGUGAAUCUUUAUGCCCAAGACAAAAGAAGCUUCACUAAAUCUUUCAUAUCAAAAUUUGAGGACAAAAACCUUUUGGUUUCCUAUAGUAGAGUGACAUCACUACUCGCCAGUAGAAUGUCAUCUACAUACAGUACUAGGAAAAUGUAUUUCCCAUUCUUGAACUUUGCAUAGACGCAAUUGUCCUCAACAUUCUCCUUAAACCCAAACUUUCUGAUUGUCUUAUCAAACUUCAAAUACCACUGUCUGGAUGCUUGCUUUAAUCCAUAAAUGGAUUUCUUCAGGCGACAGCCCAUUCUUUCUUUGCCAGUCACAACAAAACCUUUCGGUUGUGCCAUGUAUACUCUUUCUUCUAGAUCCCCAUUGAGGAAUGUUGCUUUUACACCCAUUUGAUGCAAUUCUAGAUCAAAAUGUGCCACUAGGGCCAUUAUGAUUCUAACAGAGUCCUUGCUCGAGACGGGAGAGAAUGUUUCAUUAUAAUCUAUCCCUUCUCGCUGAGUAAAAUCCUUGGCUACCAGUCUUGCUUUGUACCUUUCUAUGUUCCCUUUAGAGUCACGUUUCACCUUGUAGACCCAUUUGCCGCCUACUGUUUUGGCUACUUUAGGAAUUUCCUCUAGGUCCCAAACAUUAUUGGUACUCAUAGACUUUAAUUCAUCUUCCAUGGCUUCUUGCCACUUAGAUGCUUCAGUGCUCCUCAUGGCUUCUUCAAAUGAAGUGGGUUCAUCCUCCAUCUGAACUUCUUCGCAUUCAUAGACUAUGUAGUCAUCUGAAAUAGGAGACUUUCUCGCUCUUUGAGGUCUGCCAAAAGGUUCCACUACUGGCAUUUCUUCUUCUUGGGGUUGCUCUUGUUGGGGUUGCUGUUCAUCGACUAUGGGUUCAUUUGGCUCUUGAAGGAUAGGUUCCGAAUUAGCCGUAGGCGAAAAAGCAGCAGGUGUUGUCACUACUGGUGUAGAUCCAACAAUAACAGACAGCGUGAAGUAGGGUUCCUGCACCAUAGGAAUGGGCACGAACACCCGCUUCUCUUCAAGGGUGAUUUCUCGCGCUGCUUUGCUCCCCUUGAUCAUGUGAUCUUCUAGGAAACUAGUGUCUCAUUUCCACAAACAUGGUAUGUCUACCAGGGCAGUAGAAACGAUAACAUUUUGAAUUUUCUAGAUAGCCAAUGAAAUGGCAACUUACUGUUUUGGGGUCUAGCUUUCCUAUGUUUGGGUUAAAUACUUUUGCUUCAAUAGGACUCCCCCAGACACGCAAAUGGUUGACUGAGGGUUUCCUACUGGUCCACAACUCAUACAGUGUUUUAAAGGCCCCCAUCCACAAACUCAGUGGCAGAGUGGAAUAGCUCAUCAUGUUGCGCACCAUAUCCAUUAGAGCACUGUUACGCCUUUCUGCUACUCCAUUUUGUUGUGGGUCGCCCGACAUUGAAUACUGGGCUACUAUGCCAUUUUCCUUGUAAGAACCUUGCAAAAGGUCGAGAGACUUGUCCAUAAGGGGUAUGUUGACUGUAGUACUCCCCCCCCACGGUCAGAUCUUACUACUUUGAUUUUUCUAUCUAGUUGAUUUUCAACCUCAGCCUUGAAUAUCUUAAACUUGUCUAAAGCUUAUGAACGUUCUUUGAUUGGAUAGAUAUAUCCAAAACGAGAGUAGUCAUCUAUGAAUGUGAUGAAGGAAUCAAAACCAUCAACAGAUGUCACUGGAAAAGGUCCACAGAUGUCUAUGUGGAUCAAUUCUAGUACUCUCGUGCUUCGCUUAGCGCCUUUCUUUAUGUUCUUUACUAACUUGCCUUUAAUGCAAUCAACGCAUUGCUCUAACUCUGAGAGUUCUAGUGGUGGGAGGAUUGAUUCUUUGACUAAACGUUCUAUUCUCCCCCUCGAAAUAUGGCCUAAACAACAGUACCAUAAUUUUGAUGAGGAAUCAAUUCUCUUUCUUUUCUUGCUUGCAUCUGCAGAUAUUGCAUUCUUAGCGUUAUUACAUUCAGCAUUCACAUUCUCAGACACAGAUAAUAAAUAAAGUUUGUCUUGUUAGAAGGCAAGACCCACACAUUUAUUAUUUAACUGUAGCUUACAAUCAUUCUUGCUGAAAUGGCAACCAAAACCAUAGUCUGACAAACAUGAAACUGAAAUUAAAUUUCUAGCUAAAGAGGGAACAUAAAGAACAUCAUGCAACUCAAGUGUGAAACCACUAGCUAAAUCUAGAGAUAAAUUUCCUAUAGCUUGAACUUCAGCUUCAACUCCAGUGGCCACCUUAAUCUGUCUUUCUCCUCUUUAAAGGGUUCUCCCUCCAUUGAAUCCCUGCAAAGAGUUUGUAACAUGAACAGUUGCACCUGAGUCAAACCACCAUGUGGAUCUUGCAUAACUUAGAUAUAAGGAUUCAUCAACAAAAGUUAUAAUGUCCUCACCUUUUACUAGGCAGUGUCUCAUGAACUUAGGGAAACCAUGCUUCCAAUGCCCUGUCUCAUUGCACCAUCUACAGCAAUCCGGUUCCUCCUGCUUCUGCUGGUUGUCUUGCUUUGGCUGUGCUUUGUGUUGUGAAGAGCUUCCUCCCUUAUUAUGAGAGGUGGAGGCAUCUGGAGCUUUCUUGUUGUAGAAUGGUUUCUUGUUCUUUCCUUUCACAAAGUUCAUAGAACCACCAUUUGCAUUCUUUAGCCUUUCUUCCUCUUGCACACACAUAGCAAUCACCUUCUCUAAAACCCACUCCUCUGGUUGUGUGUUGUAGUUAACAACAAAUGUCUCAUACUCUUUGGGAAGUGAGUUUAGAACUAGGUGAAUGAUGAAACCAUCUGCGAGGGGCAUCUUUAGCUUCUCUAACUUAGCUGCCAUGGUGCUCAUGCUCAAAAUGUGCUCUCUCACACUACCCCCUAUCAACCUCAUGUUAGUGAGUUUAUGAAUCAGGGUGGAAGCAUGAGCUUUUGUGGAACCAGGGAACUGAUUCUUCACUUUCUCAAGGUAUUCUUUUGUUGUGUCACAUUCUAGGAUGGCAUCUCUUAAGCCCUCUGUGAUGGUUUUCUUGAUGACAAUCUUGCACUUGCAGUUUAACUUUUCCCAGUUGUACUUCUCAAGAUCAUACUUUGCUCUAAUAGGAGCAUAGUCUCGCUUCCGAUUAGCAAAAGCUUCAUCGGUCUCAUUCUAGGCCCUUUCGGGCUCCUCUGGCUCAGUGGGCUUUGGCUCCUGAAGAGCCAAAUCUAUCUCAACAAGUGCUAGAGCAGCAUCAAGUUCUUCGCGCCAGAGAACAUAGUUCUGCCCUGUCAGCUUUAGGAUUGCACUAAUGAAGUGCAUCGCAUUCAGCACUUGGUCUGAAAUUAAACAUGAGAAAACAGUGAGAACAUUAACAUUAAAACUAGGAAAGAUAAUUGCAUAUCUUAAUUUAACGUUGGUCAAAAUCAAGGUAUACAAAAAUUGACUCUCUACAUAAAUUCUAAUCACCGUUGGGCAGAAUAAAAUAAAUGCAUAAAAAUGAGAACUUGGAAUUUGCAAUAUUGCUAUUAUUAACGUUGGUCAAAAAAUAACAAUAUUACAAAAAUUCUGAGCUUUAAAACUCGGUUUCUCAAAUUAAAUAUCCCGUUGGUUCAAUUUAAUAUGAGAAUAUAUAACUUGCGCAGCUGAAAACAUUAAUCAACUUGCUAUUUUUUAGAAGCAUAACUUGCUGACCUUGCUCUCUAAAUAAUAAACACGUUGGUGCAAUUAAAUAGAGUUUAAAAACUGGGCAAAACAAUUAUUUAAAUGCUUCUGAAAAAUUAAAUAGAAAAUUGGAAACGGUCAAGCGCGCGUUUCGGGAUAUCAAAACCGUCGGCUCGCCGCCCCUCUGGAAAACCCUAGAGCUUUCUAGCUUCUCUCAGCGCGCAUCACACAGCCACCGCCUCUCUCUGGCCGGUGCGCCGUACGGCACUGAGCGCCGCCGGUGUCUGGGCCUUUUCUCUCUCUCCCAAAACCCUAGUUCUUGCUCUCUACCUCCUCUCUUUCCAGCUCGCCCAGCAGCAGAGCUGCCGCCUUCGGGAACCAUCACCAUGGAUAGACUUGGCUAGAGGAAGGGAUUGGCGCCACCCGUCGAUCCCCUCGACGGCACGUGCGUCCGCCUGUUGCAGGGCGCGCCGCCGUCGAGUGGUUCGGCGGUGGUGCCCGCGUCACUCGCGCUGGCCUUGCUCGGCUCCUGCGUGCCGACGAGCGGCGGCGCAACCAUGGCGGUGAGUGAGAGACCCAGGUAGGUCUCCUUUCUCGUCGAGUCUUGCUUUUUUUUUCUUUUCUUGAUCUGGAUUUGUUGAUCAAAAUCGGUGUACUGGUUCUUGCUAGGGUUAGGUUUUUGGGAAAAUUUCCCCACUUUCUUGCUGUGAUUGCUUUGCGAUUUGAAUCCCAAAUCCGAUCUAUAUACUAGAUUGGCUCUGGUACCAUUGAUAGAAAUUUAGGAUCGUCUAACAGUAAAACAGAUCGGGAUUCGAGUACAACAACACGUAGCAAAUGAACAUAGACAAUGGUACUACACAUACAUGCACUAGAUCUACUACACAUAGAGAGAAACAUGGAGACUUAGGGGUUUAGGAUUAGACCAUCGUGUCCAGCAGUAGGCGUUGCUCCGGCAGUGUCCAUGGCGUCGGAGUUGAGGUAGUUACGGAAUAGAUCCCGUCGUCCUUCGGGUCUCCACCGGCACUAACCGACGACGGAGAAGAAGUAGGAGGGCGCAGUGGUGCUUCCCGACGCCACUGCGCACUUGUUGAUCGGCGACCUAGGGUUGUGAGUAGGGUUUGGCGGCGCACGACAAACCUCGUGUCGUGUGCCUGUAGCCCCCUACUCUUAUUUAUAUGGCGUAGCGCGUCGGGGCCCCACCAACCAUAGAUUGGUUGGGGGCUCCCGAUCAUGGCGCGAUCCAGGGGAAAAGGCCCAGCCGUUGGGCUGGGUCUGAGAUCAAUCUAACACUCUCCUCUUGCCUUCCUCCUCCUGCUACUGCCAUCGCCAUAUGUGCAGGCUCAACAGAACAUCAGCUUGGGCUCCUCCUUGACGCCCCAAGGGCCUAGCAGCUUUUGGCUCUCUCCGUCCGGCGACUUCGCAUUCGGCUUCCGGUCCUUGUCCAUCAAGGGCAACGCCUCCUCCUACCUGCUUGCCGUCUGGUUCAGCAAGAUCAGCGACAAGACAGUGGUUUGGUAAUUGGUAUGCCAAGACAAGUGCAAGUGGUGUACAACAAUCACAGAUCCAGGUUUCAUCCGGUUCAAUUAACAAGCUCACCUCGGGUGGGACUCUCUGCCUCCUCGACCCCGCCAAUACAGAGGUAUGGAAAAGAGACGCUCCGUAGCCGGAUCAUUGCCCCAGACUACUCAAAUGGCCGGUUCCUCCUUGACCUGCAAGAUACCGGUGUGAAACUUUAUUCUGUUCUCCUUUUUGGUACAAACUACACGGUCACUAGAAAAAACGGUUCCAAGCAACCUAGGGUUGCCCCUAAAAGCCUUCACUUAUGCUGAGCUCGAGAAGGCAACCAGAGGAUUUUCCAGGAGGUGCUUGGCACUGGUGCCUCUGGUAUUGUGUACAAGGGCCAGCUAGAAGACGAGCUUGGGACCUGCAUUGCUGUCAAGAAAAUUGACAAGCUCGAGCAGGAAUCGGAAAAGGAGUUCAGUGUUGAAGUGCAAGCUAUUGGACAGACGCACCACAAGAACUUGGUCAAAUUGCUAGGAUUCUGCAGUGAAGGAAAAGAAAGACUUUUGGUGUAUGAGUUCAUGAGCAAUGGAUCAUUAAAUAGAUUUGUGUUUGGUGAUGUCAAUCUUCAGUGGAACCUUCGAGUUCAGCUUGCUCGUGGGGUGGCAAGAGGGCUUCUAUACUUACAUGAGGAAUGCAGCACACAGAUCAUCCAUUGUGACAUCAAGCCCCAGAACAUCCUUCUGGAUGACAAAUUCACAGCAAAGAUCUCAGAUUUUGGCUUAGCCAAACUGCUGGGAACUAACCAGACACAAACAAAUACUGGUAUACGGGGCACCCGGGGAUAUGUUGCACCUGAGUGGUUCAAGAGCAUUGGUAUCACUGCCAAGGUUGAUGUCUACAGCUAUGGGGUCAUCCUGUUGGAGCAAUCAGUCGUCGGCAUAAUUUGAGUUGGAGGCAGCAGAGGAUAAAAAAAUACCUUGGCAGUUUUCGUUUUUUGAACUUUGCUUAUCUGUCAUCUUUGCUGUGUUCUCUGUAAACUUUUCCUCAGCUCUAGCAGGGGCUGGGAGUGAGAGCCUCUAAACUCUAUACUGUAACCGAAUGAUCUAUGGUCUUUUAUGUUAAUGAAAGGCCGGGGUGAUGGCCCUCGAACUCUAAAAAAAAGGAUAAAAAAAUACUGACUUACUGGGCAAGUGAUUGUUAUAGGUGUGGCAGAGUUGAUCUUCUGGUGGAGGGUGAUCCUGAAGCAAUUUUCAAUCUGAAGGUAAUGGAAAGGUUUGUAGCAGUGGCACUGUGGUGUCUCCAGGAAGACCCAACUAUCAGACCUACAAUGCUGAAAGUGACACAAAUGCUUGAUGGAGCAGCAGCAAUCCCAUCUCCUCUUGAUCCAUCUUCCUUUUUCAGCUCAGUUUGAUUGCAGAAUGCUGAAGCAAUAUAGCGGAGUAGAAAGUUACUGAAGGAACGGCUUAUAUACUAGUUAGAUAUAGCAAUCUAAACAUAGGCCUAAACAUAGGCCUACUUAUCCAUUGGUUAGUUGGAUUCUUAUUACUUAGUCUAUGCAUGCAUAACUAUUAGAAAAGUUCUAUUGAGGCGUAUUUUGCAAUAAUUAUGUCCAAAAGAAAAUUCAGAAAACAAACUUCUAGUCAACUUAUUUUCCAAAUGGAAAACCUAGCAAAAAAAAUUCAAGGAAAUUGGCCAAAAGCAGCCAAACUUUUCUCCUAUAUAACUUCAACCUCCUUGUUCCAAUCUGGUCACUGUUAUAAAUUUCAGCUGCCUUGACAGAGCAGAAACAACCAGGGCAGAGAGAGGAAUCGUAUGGACUAGUCAUUGUGCACCUGCCUUCACGCAAACGUCAAUUGAACCACAGGAAAAAUCAAGUCUUGCCUUUAGAACUUGCAAGAUGCCAAAAAUUCGGCCUGACCAGAAGAGGAGCACCUUCAACCACGUAAGGCCUUGUUUAGUUCCAAAAAAUUUUAUAAAUAAUCUCAGAUUUCUCGUCACAUCGAAUCUUGUGGCGUAUACAUGAAGCAUUAAAUAUAGAUAAACAUAAUAACUAAUUGUGCAGCAAUUUGUGAGACAAAUCUUUUGAGUCUAAUUAGUCCAUAAUUGGACAAUAUUUGUCAAAUACAAACGAAAGUGCUACAGUGUUCAUUUUACAAAAAUUUUUACAAGUAAACAAGGCCUAAACCAAAUCACAGCCACCAAUUAUCAACAUACAACUAUGAAUAGUCACACAGAAAAGGACCCAUGCAUGUCGAGUAGCCAACUAGAGAAAUGGACCAGUUCAAAGCUGUUUACUGUUACACCACAUCAUAAGGUUCAAUGACUAUCGAUUGUCACUUGUCAGGUCCAGUCAACGAAGACUCCUGAAACCAGAGAUGCAUAAUAAGUUGGUCAUCAGACAUGCAAGAACUGAAGGUCUUGUUUAGGCCUGUAUAGAUAUACUCAAAAUCCAAAAGUUUAUAAAAUUCCCCAUCACAUCGAAUCUUGCGGUGAAGAAUUAAACAUAAAUUUAAAAAUAACUAAUUGCACAGUUUACCUAUAAAUCGCGAGACGAAUCUUUUAAGCCUAGUUAGUCCAUGAUUGAACAAUGUUUGUCAAAUAGAAUCGAAAUAUUUAUAGUGUCAAAAUUUAAAAAAAUUUGCAUUUAAAAAAUUUCAAAAUUCUCCGUCACAUCGAAUCUUUGGACGUAUGUAUGGAGCAUUAAAUAUAGAUAACAAAAAUAACUAAUUGCACAACUUAUUUGUAAUUUGCGAGACGAAUCUUUUGAACCUAAUUAGUCUAUAAUUGAACAAUAAUUACUAAAUACAAACAAAAAAGCUACUGGCCAAACUAAAAAAAUUUCGCGAAACUAAACAAGGCCCGAGAGCCAGACCAAAAGAAACCCACCCACGGCAGCUCUCCUUCUGUCCUAGCUCCUGCUGCUGUCCUCAACUCCUCUGCAGGCUGGUGGCACGUUCCUCUAACGCGGAACAUAGUUAAAUUUAAGUCAUAAGAACUUUUAUUAAUAAAUCAAGCCACGAUAAAAAAAUAAUAUUUUGUAUAUAUUUUUGAAUAAGACGAGUGGUCAAAUUUGGUAUCAAAAAAGCCAAAACAUCUUAUCAUUUAAGAUGGAUUAAGUAAUAAUUAAUCAUGCCAAAAAUUAGGCUUGAUCCGAAAGGGACCACCUUGGAAGAAUUGCAGACUUUCGUAACACGGUCACAAUCACAAUCAAUCCAGUCCAGUAACAGCAACCCAUGCGCACGGAGCAGCCAGAUAAAAUGAUUGACCAGUUCAGUGCUGUUUACUAUACAUGCCAUGAGAUGCAUAAGCCUGCCAUCAUGAAUAACGGAUUCAUGGCGCCUCUCCUCCUCUUGCCAUUCCUCCUGCUACUGUCCUCACCAUCCAUGAAAGCUCAACAAAACAUCUUGUUGGGCUCCUGGUUAACACCGACACAGGGGUCUAACAGCUCAUGGCACUCGCAAUCCGGUGACUUUGCUUUUGGUUUCCGGCCAGUCGAGGGCAAUUCAUCCUUGUUUCUCCUUGCCGUUUGGUUCAACAAGAUCAGUGACCAGACGGUGGUUUGGUAUGCCAAGGCCAGUGAUCCAGAUCCAGCACCGAUACAAGUUUCAUCCAGUUCACAUCUCCAGCUCGACUCCAGCGGCGUACUCUCGCUCAAGGACUCCACCGGCAUAGAGGUUUGGAAUCCCAACGCUGUGGGUGCAGCCUACGCCACCAUGCUCAACACCGGAAACUUUGUGUUGGCUGCUGCAGAUGGGUCUACCAAGUGGGGGACUUUCAACAACCCAGCAGAUACCAUCCUGCCCACUCAGGUGCUAACCCCCGGAAUGGCGCUCCGCAGCCGGAUCAUCCCCACAGAUUACUCCAAUGGUCGAUUUCUCCUUGAUGUAGCUGAUGAUGGUGUUUUCUUUCAUUCAGUUGCUGUGCCAUCCGGUUACCAAUAUAACCCCUAUUGGGUCAUGCCUGGGAACAAAACCACAAAGCUAGUGUUCAAUGAGACUGGAGUGAUAUACAUGACCUUGGAUGGCAACAUAGAAAUCAAUAUUACAUCUGGACCAGAUAUAACUGGCCCCAUGGAGGACUACUACCACCGUGCCACACUUGACACAGAUGGAGUAUUCCGGCAAUAUGUCUACCCGAUAAACAGAGGCGAGUGGUCUCUGGUGACGGCAUGGACAGUUGUUGGUUUCAGUCCACCAAACAUUUGUGAAACGCUGACAGAAGUCGGCAGCGGCAUCUGCGGGUUUAACAGUUAUUGUCAGUUCGAUAGUGCGAGCAGCAACUUGUCCUGCUUGUGCCCACCGCAGUACUCAUUUUUAGAUGAGGAGAGGAAGUACAAAGGAUGCAAACCAGACUUCCAGACACAAGGCUGUGAGUUGGAUGAAGCAUCCGCCAUGGCGCAGUUUCAGCUGACAUGGCAAGACAAUGUGGAUUGGCCUCUAGCUGACUACGAGAUAUACACCCCUGUAACUGAGAAUCAGUGCCGGCGACUCUGCCUAAUAGACUGCUUCUGUACUGUCGCAGUGUUCCAUGACAGUGAUAAUACAUGUUGGAAGAAGAAAACACCAUUGUCGAAUGGAAAAAUGAUGCACAGCGUGCAGAGGACGCUUCUUCUAAAGUUGCCAAAGAACAACAUUUCACAGACUGAGCUUAUUAAUGUGUCUGGCAAAUGGAAGAAAGACAAGAUGCACUGGAUCCUUGGAGGUUCAAUGCUUUUAGGAAGCUCAGUCUUGGUGAACCUUCUCCUGACUUUGGUUCUCCUUUUCGGUACCUACCGUGUUAUCACCAUUAUCAAGAUAGCCCAGCCCUUGCAAUCAUCAAGUAACCUAGGAUUACCUUUGAAAGCCUUCAGUUACACCGAGCUUGACAAGGCAACAGGUGGAUUCACAGAGGUGCUUGGCACUGGUGCCUCUGGUAUUGUGUACAAGGGCCACCUAGAAGAUAACCUCAGAACCUGCAUUGCUGUGAAGAAAAUUGACAAGCUCCAGAAGGAGACAGAAAAGGAGUUCACUAUGGAAGUUCAGGCCAUUGGACAGACAUACCAUAAGAAUUUGGUCCGCUUGCUAGGAUUCUGCAGUGAAGGAAGUGAGAGACUAUUGGUGUAUGAAUUCAUGGCCAAUGGAUCACUCAGCGGAUUACUGUUUGGUGAUGUCAGGCCUCAAUGGAACCUUCGAGUUCAGCUUGCUCUGGGUGUAGCAAGGGGACUGCUAUACUUACACGAGGAAUGCAGCACACAGAUCAUCCAUUGUGACAUAAAGCCCCAGAACAUUCUUCUUGAUGACAAGUUGACAGCAAAGAUCUCAGACUUCGGCUUAGCCAAACUGCUGCAAACCAACCAGACACAAACAAAUACUGGUAUACGGGGUACCCGAGGAUAUGUUGCACCUGAGUGGUUCAAGAGCAUUGGUAUCACUGCCAAGGUCGAUGUCUACAGCUAUGGGGUCAUCCUGUUGGAGCUCAUCAGUCGUCGGCGUAAUGUUGAGUUGGAGGCAGCAGAGGAUAAAAAAAUACUGACUUACUGGGCAAGUGAUUGUUAUAGGUGUGGCAGAGUUGAUCUUCUGGUGGAGGCUGAUGCUGAAGCAAUUUCUAAUCUGAAGGUGGUGGAAAGGUUUGUAGCAGUGGCACUGUGGUGUCUCCAGGAAGACCCAACUAUCAGACCUACAAUGCUGAAAGUGACACAAAUGCUUGAUGGAGCAGAAGCAAUCCCAUCUCCUCUUGAUCCAUCUUCCUUUUUCAGCUCAGUUUGAUUGCAGAAUGCUGAAGCAAUAUAGCGGAGUAGAAAGUUACUGGAGGAACGGCUUAUAUACUAGUUAGAUAUAGCUAUCUCCUGAAGGAAUAGCUUAUACUUCAUGUUACGAAUGCUGCUACUGUUUUUCUUCUUUAUGUAAUGUGAACAGCACCGAUAGUGCUGUAGUCGGUAUCCUGUAAGAAUUGGAAGGAGAAAAAUAUUAGGAAAGACUCCUCUUCCAAACAGAAUACCUACUUCCUAAAUAAAAUAUUUUUCUAUGAUAAGAGUUAGUUACUUUUACGUUGCAACUUACUUAUUCAUUGGUUAGUUGGAUUCUUAUUACUUAUGUCUAUGCAUGCAUAACUAUUAGAAAAGUUCUAUUGGGGCGUAUUUUGCAAUAAUUAUGUCCAAAACAAAAUUCAGAAAACAAACUUCUAGUUAACUUAUUUUCCAAAUGGAAAACCUAGCAAAAAAAAUAUCAAGGAAAUUGGCCAAAAGCAGCCAAACUUUUCUCCUAUAUAACUUCAACCUCCUUGUUCCAAUCUGGUCACUGUUAUAAAUUUCAGCUGCCUUGACAGAGCAGAAACAACCAGGGCAGAGAGAGGAAUCGUAUGGACUAGUCAUUGUGCACCUGCCUUCACGCAAACGUUAAUUGAACCACAGGAAAAAUCAAGUCUUGCCUUCUUUAGAACUUGCAAGAUGCCAAAAAUUCGGUCUGACCAGUUCCAAAAAAUUUUAUAAAUAAUUUCAGAUUUCCUGUCACAUCAAAUCUUGCGGCAUAUGCAUGAAGCAUUAAAUAUAGAUAAACAUAAUAACUAAUUGUGCAGUUUGUCUGUAAUUUAAGAGACAAAUCUUUUGAGUCUAAUUAGUCCAUAAUUGGACAAUAUUUGUCAAAUACAAACGAAAAUGCUACAAUGUUCAUUUUGCAAAUUUUUUUACGAGUAAACAAGGCCUAAACCAAAUCACAGCCACCAAUUAUCAACAUACAACAAUGAAUAGUCACACAGAAAAGGACCCAUGCAUGUCGAGUAGCCAACUGUAGAAAUGGACCAGUGCAAAGCUGCUUACUGUUACACCACAUCAUAAGGUUCAGUCAACGAAGACUCCUGAAACCAGAGAUGCAUAAUAAGUUGGUCAUCAGACAUGCAAGAACUGAAUGUCUUGUUUAGGGCCUGUAUAGAUACACUCAAAAUCCCAAAGUUUACAAGAUUCUCCAUCACAUCAAAUCUUGCGGUACAUGUAUGGAGCAUUAAACAUAGAUUAAAAAAUAACUAAUUACACAGUUUACCUAUAAAUCGCGAGACGAAUCUUUUAAGCCUAGUUAGUCCAUGAUUGAACAAUAUUUGUCAAAUACAAACGAAAAUGUUAUAGUGUCAAAAUUAAAAAAAAUUGCAUCUAAAAAAUUUCAAAAUUCUCCGUCACAUCGAAUCUUUGUACGCAUGUAUAGAGCAUUAAAUAUAGAUAACAAAAAUAACUAAUUGCACAACUUAUUUGUAUUUGCAAGACGAAUCUUUUGAGCCUAAGAGCAACUCCAAGAGAGUUGAUAAAAAUGAAUGGCUAAAUUCAAGAUUUAGCCAACCUCAAAAAUAGAAAAUCAUGUAAAAAAACAAAAAUCUCCAACAGUCUUUCUAUACGGCAAAUCAUAUGGCUAGCGGGACAUGCAAGCUAUAUUUACCAUGCGAGAACUCCGGGAUAGAUGACUUGCUAUUUUAGCAAACUAAAUACAAUAGCUGCUCUCUUUUCUCUUUCAAAAUAACCAAAUAUAUAAUACAUAACAUGUACAGCUCUUCUCUUGGAGUUGCUCUAAUUAGUCUAUAAUUGAACAAUAAUUACUAAAUACAAAUAAAAAUGCUACAUUAGCCAAACUAAAAAAUUUCGUAAACUAAACAAGGCCCGAGAGCCAGACCAAAAGAAACCCACCCACGCCAGCUCUCCUUCUGUCCUAGCUCCUGCUGCUGUCCUCAACUCCUCUGCAGGCUCAACAGAAAAACACCCUAGGGCCUGCACCUCUUGGCUCUCAUGUAGAAGAAGCUACUUCUGUGGAAAAAAAAAAAGCCCAAAUCGCAUCGAAUAAGACUCGAAUUUAAGUGGCAUGACAUAAACCAACAUCCACAACCGCUCUAAACACAGUCGCUCUUACACACACACAAAAGGCGUUAGACAAAAAAAGCUUAGUUGCAUUGCCUUGGAUUAAUUAGGCCUUGUUUGAUUGCUCCUGUUUUUUUAAAACUCUCGUCACAUUAAAUGUUUGGACUCACGCACGAUAUACUAAUUAAUUCAUGAUUCGACACUAAUUGUCAAAUAAAAUAAAAAUGCUACACUACCUGUUAACUAUAUCCUCUCUAACCAAACACCCCCUAAGAUAGUAGGCUGUAGCCUUCAUUCAUGACAGAAGAACCAGUGCCAGUGUUGACCCUCUAACGCGGCAAGCUGGUGGCACGUUCCUGUCUAAUGCCGGCGCGGUAGUCCUUAUUGUUAUGGGCCAGUCGACAGCAUAAAGAGUGAACGUCUCAGUCAACAUGAGACAAACGAUAUGAACCUAUACACUCAAAAAAAAAUGAACCAUACACUCAUGAAAAUCGAGAACGAAAAUUUGUCAACCAUGAAAAAUACGUACUUUUUUUACAACAAAAUACAUACUUCUUUAAGAGAGCAUAUGUUGUAGAGAAAAUUCAGAAAAUAACGCACCCAAGGAAACUGGCCACAAGUAACCAAAAUUUCCUCCUAUACAAUUCCAACUUUGUUCCAAUCUGAUCGUGAUUGAAAAUCAGUCACCAAGCAUGACCCUCACGGUAAGAACUAACCAUGACCAUGCUUCUGAAAAAGCAUAACUGGAAGCGUCCGCCGUCCGGUGUAUAGGUUGGAAUUUGGACAAGUAGUCAUUGUGCAAAUCUGGACAUUAUGCACCUGCCUCCACACAAUCGUAAAUUUAACCACAGGAAAAACAAAGUCUUCUCUUCCAUAGAACUUUUAAGCAUGCGAAAAAAUCAGACUGCUAGAAGUGGAGCACCUUCAAACACUUGCAAACUUCCAUAACCAAUCACAUCAACCAAUUAACUACAUCCAUCGCGAAAUAGUCACAGGGACCAAUUGUCGUAAUUGACCAGUUCAAAGUUGCUUUAUAAUGUUAUGAAGGUUCCGAUGACCCAACCACUGUCAGGUCAAGUCAACCAAAAGUCCUGAGUCCUGAAACAAAGAGAUGCAUAUGUUGGGCCACCAAACGCAGGAACUCAGAGCCAAACCAAAAGAACCGAUGGCAGCUCUCCUUCUCUUGUCCUUGCUCCUGCUGCUGUCCUCUACUCCCCUUCAAGCUCAACAGAACAUCACCUUGAACUCCUCCUUGACACCCCAAGGGCCUAGCACCUCGUGGCUCUCUCCAUCCGGCGACUUCGCGUUCGGCUUCCGGCCCAUCGAGGGUAACACCUCUUUCUACCUGCUCGCCGUCUGGUUCAACAAGAUCGGAGACCAGACAGUGGCUUGGUAUGCCAAGACCACUGAUUCAGAUCCAGCGCCGGUGCAAGUUUCAUCCGGUUCACGCCUCCUGCUCAACUCCAAUGGGGCGCUCUCGCUCCAGGACUCCACCGGCACAGAGGUAUGGAAUCCCCAAAUUGUGGGUGCAUCCUACGCUGCCAUGCUCGAUUCUGGAAACUUUGUACUGGUUGCUUCAGAUGGCUCUACCAAAUGGGGGAGCUUCAAAAACCCUACAGAUACCAUCCUGCCCACUCAGGUGCUCACCACUGGAAUGAGUCUCCGCAGUCGGAUCAUCCCCACCGACUACUCCAAUGGCCGCUUCCUCCUUGACCUGCAAAGUACUGGUGUGUCUCUUUAUACUGUUGCUGUGCCCUCCGGUCACCAAUAUGAUCCAUAUUGGUCCAUGGAUGUGAACACCACAAAUCUGGUAUUCAAUGCGACUGGUGUGAUAUAUAUCGGCAACCAAAGUGAAAUCACAUCUUGGGUCAUCAGCUCCAUAGCAAACUACUACCUUCGUGCCACACUUGAUCCUGAUGGUGUUUUCCGACAAUAUAUGUACCCAAAGAAAGCCAGCAACCAGAGUAAUCAGGAAUGGUCAGUAGUGGACUUCAAGCCCCCAAAUAUCUGUGAUGCACAGCUGACAAAUGUUGGAAGCGGUAUUUGCGGUUUUAACAGUUAUUGCAUAUGGAGUGGGACAAACAACCUGAGUACUUGCAUGUGCCCAGAGCAGUACUCAUUUAUUGAUGACAAGAGGAAGUAUAUAGGCUGCAAACCAGACUUCGAGCCACAAAGUUGCGACUUGGAUGAAGCAGCGGUCAUGAUGCAGUUUAAGUUGAUACCGGUGAGCCAUGUUGAUUGGCCACUGUCUGACUAUGAGCAGUAUAGCCCCAUUACUGCAGAUCAGUGUCAGAAACUCUGUAUGACAGAUUGUUUCUGUGCCCUUGCUGUGUUCCAUGAUGAAGACAAUACAUGUUGGAAGAAGAAGAUGCCUUUGUCAAAUGGCCAUAUGGGGGAUGAUGUGCAGAGGACAGUUUACAUCAAGGUACGAAAGAACAAUGGUACACAGUCUGAGAUCAUUGCUUCGAACAAAUGGAAGAAAGACAAGAAGAAUUGGAUCAUUGGAAGUUCAUUGUUUUUGGGAAGCUCUGUCUUGGUGAACAUUCUGCUGAUUUCCAUAAUACUCUUUGGUACUUACUGUACCAUCACCAUAAAAGAAGUCCCAUCUAUGCAGUCACCAAACAAUAUAGGAUUGCCCUUGAAAGCCUUCACUUAUACUGAGCUUGAGAAGGCAACCGGUGGAUUCCAGAAAGUGAUUGGCACAGGUGCCUCUGGUAUUGUGUACAAGGGCCAGCUACAAGAUGAUCUCAGUACCCACAUUGCUGUCAAAAAAAUUGACAAGCUUGAGCAUGAAACAGAGAAGGAGUUCACCAGUGAAGUCCAAACUAUUGGUCGGACGCACCACAAGAACUUGGUCAGGUUGCUAGGAUUCUGCAAUGAAGGAAAAGAAAGACUACUAGUGUAUGAAUUCAUGACCAAUGGAUCACUCAACAGAUUCUUAUUUGGUGAUACCAAGCUUCAGUGGAAUAUUCGAGCUCAGCUUGCUCUCGGGGUGGCAAGGGGGCUGCUAUACUUACAUGAGGAAUGCAGCACACAGAUUAUCCAUUGUGACAUAAAGCCCCAGAACAUCCUUCUCGAUGGCGACUUCACAGCAAAGAUCUCAGAUUUCGGCUUAGCCAAACUGCUCCGAACCAACCAGACACAAACAAAUACAGGUAUUCGGGGUACCCGAGGAUAUGUUGCCCCUGAGUGGUUUAAGAACAUCGGUAUCACUGCCAAGGUGGAUGUUUACAGCUUUGGGGUCAUCCUGUUGGAGCUUGUCUGUUGUCGACGGAAUGUUGAAUUGGAGGCUGCAGAGGAGGAUCAAAAAAUACUGACUGACUGGGCAAAUGACUGUUAUAGGUGUGGCAGAAUUGAUUUUCUGGUGGAGGGUGAUGAUGAAGCAAUUUCUGAUUUGAAGAACGUGGAAAGGUUUGUUGCAGUGGCAUUGUGGUGUCUUCAGGAGGACCCAACUAUGAGACCUACAAUGCGGAAGGUGACACAAAUGCUUGAUGAAGCAGCUGCAGUCCCAAGCCCUCCUGAUCCUACUUCCUUUGUCAGUACACUGGCAUAGCAUCACUCCUGCAUAUUGUCAUAUAUUAGUAUAUGUAUGAAGCAAUAAAAUUGUGUGGGAAAUUAGAUACAGAUAUCUACUGAAAGUUACGUCUGCUGAUACUGUAGUGUUAUUAUGUGUACUGUAAAGAGCGCAGCAGUACUGUCUGCGGAACGAAAUGCGAACGGGAGUAUCCUUCAAGUGCCGCCGCCGCCACCGCUCCGUCUCCAUCACCGCUGGUCCCCCUCCCUCCCUCCUCCGGCAUAUCGCCAGAGGCUAGAGGGAGUGGGGAUCCAUCGUUUUUAAUAAGUUUUUCCUAGUCGAAUUUUUAGGAUUAAGGUCUCUCCAUGCCAAGAUUCUUGGUUUUGGGGAUUUAUUUCCUCCUCUCCGGUGACAGGGAGAGAGCAGGGUGGAAUCAUUUUCUCCAUGGCGGCUUUGUUGAAGAUGCAGGCAACAACUACGGCGUUGAAAUCCCCACAUGGGGACUUUUAUUUCCGGGCGGCGACAUCAAGGUGGAGAUGGUGUCGCUGCUAUAGAAUAAUUUUAUCCGGUCUCUACUCCAUUUUAUUGUGGUUAGAUCUAGCCAUGAUGAAGGACUAGGGAGAAUAAGUUUCAGAUCAGUCUUCCUCAUUCUUCGGUGGCAGAAAGAAGAAGGAAGACACCAGAAAGAAGAAGUUUCUCAACUCCACCUACAUGAAUGUUGGCCGUCGUUCGUUGGGCAUCUGUUCUCAGGCCUUUUGCCGAGUGUUUGCCUGUGUGGUCAUCCAUACUGCAAAGCGUUGUACAGGUUUGGUUUUGAGAUCUGGAGCUAUUCACAACAUGGGUACAAUUUAGAUGAAAAUCAUUUUCUGGAUAUUUAUGUAAUCCAGAAUGCUUGUAACGUGUUCAUGUAUCCAACCAUUAUUUAAUAUAAUUAUUCUUUCAUCGCAAAAAAGAAAAGCAAUAUUGUCUGCGGCCAUAACAGACUGUAGUAAAUAUAUUAGGAAGGCUUCAUCUUCCCAAAUUGAAUACCUGUUUCCUUAAAAUAAAUUAUUUUCCAAGAACAAAUUAGUUACUUGUAUGUGGUAUAUCAUCUAUUGGUUAUUUAGGUUUGUGACUUGAUGAUUCUAUCCAUAAUUGUUAGGAGAAUUGCCAAAGGGCCUCUAGUCCAGUUGGUUAGAGGAACCCGGCGGCACUCCUUAGGUCCUGAGUUCGACUCCCCGUGGGAGCGAAUUUUCAGGCUAAUGU